UUUGCCAAAAGUAUGGCAGAAACCAUCAGGGUUUCUACAGAGCUGGGAGCGAUGUGUGUUUCGGGUGCGGCAAUCUAGGUCAUAGAAUCAGAGAUUAUCCUCAGUCAAGUUUACAAGGUCAGUACAAUCAUCCCCCACUCAGUCUGGUCGCCUGAAUCAGCAGGGUGCCACUUCCAGUGCCACUAGUGGGCAGCUCCCAAACAGACUCUAUGCACUUCAAUCCUGACAAGAUCAGGAAAGUUCUCCUAAUGUGAUCACCGGUUCAUUACAAGUUUAUAUUUAUAUGUUUAUGCUUUGCUAGAUCUAGGAGUUUUUUUGUCCUUUGUAGCUCCUUAUAUAGUUGUUGACUUCAAAGUCAGUCCUGAAAUCCUAGCAGAGCCCUUCUCAGUCUCUACCCCAGUGGGUAAGUCUAUCAUUGCUUAGCGGGCAUACAGGAACUGUCCGAUUAUGGUAUUUCAGAAAGUUACUUCAGUGGACUUAAUAGAGUUAGAGAUGAUAGAUUUUGACAUUAUUCUCGACAUGGAUUGGCUUCAUUCAUGCUAUGCUUCAGUUGAUUAGAGAAACAGAGUUGUCUAUUAUUAGUUCCCGAAUUUACUAUCCUAGAAUGGAGGGGUAGCACUUCAUCACUUAGAGGUCAGCUUAUUUCUUACAUUAGAGCGAGAAAAAUAAUAUCCAAGGGGUGUUUCUAUCAUCUCAUUUGAGUUAAAGAUUCUAGUUUUGAGAUGCCUAAUAUUGAGUCAGUUUCAGUAGCAUGUGAAUUUCUAGAUGUGUUUCCCAAAGAUCUUCCUGGAGUUCCUCCUGAGAGGAAAAUUGACUUCGAAAUAGACCUUCUUCUAUAUACUUAGCCUAUCUCUAUUCCACCAUACAGAAUGGCUUAGCAAAACUCAAAGAACUAAAAAAGUGGUUGAAAUACCUUCUAGAUAAGGGAUUUAUUAGACCCAGUAUUUCCUCAUGGAGCGCACUAGUUCUAUUCAUUCAUAAUAAAGAUGGUACUCUUAGAAUAUGUAUUGACUACCGUCAGUUGAAUAAAGUCACGGUUAAGAAUAAGUAUCCACUUCCUAGAAUCAAUAACUUGUUUGACCAACUUCAGGGUGCCAGUUACUUUUCUAAGAUAGACCUCAGAUUAAGCUAUCAUUAGCUCAAAGUCAGAGAAUAUGACAUUUCAAAAAUAGCUUUCAGAACUCGUUAUGGUCACUUCGAAUUUCUAUUCAUGUCAUUUGGUCUUACCAAUGCCCCAGUAGCUUUCAUGGACUUAAAAAAUCGUUCAAGUCGUACUUGUAUAUGUUUAUCAUAGUCUUCAUUGAUGUUAUUCUCGUCUACUCCUGUAGUGAAAAUAAUCACGUAGACCACCUUAGAAUAGUAUUACAGACCCUCAGAGCCCAUUAGUUAUUCACCAAAUUUAGUAAAUACAAAUUUUGGCUAAGGUCUGUAGCUUUUCUUGGUCAUAUAUUUUCCGAUAAUAGCAUUAGAGUUGAUCCUCAAAAGACCAAAAUAGUGAGAAACUAGCCUAAACCCAUCUCUCCAUCUGAUAUUAAGAGUUUCUUAGGUUUGGCUGGCUAUUACCAAUGGUAUGUUGAAGGAUUUUUAUCUAUUGCAUCCCCCAUGUCCAGAUUGACUCAGAAGAAAUUCAAAUUCCAGUGGUCAGAUUCUUAUGAGAAGAGUUUUCAGAAGUUAAAGACUCAACUACUACAGCCCUAGUUUUUACUUAUCAGAUGGUUCAGAAGGGUUUGUUGUGUAUUAUGAUACUUCUAGAGUUGGUCUGGGGUGUGUUUUGGUGUAGAUAGGAAAGGUCAUAGCCUAUGCUUCUAGACAGCUUAAGCCCCAUGAAAAGAAUUAUACCACUCAUGAUCUUGAGUUUGUAGUUGUAGUAUUUGCCUUAAAGAUUUGGAGGCACUAUUUGUAUGGGGUGCAUGUUGAUAUGUUCAUAGAUCAUAAAAGCUUUCAGUAUGUGUUCUCUCAGAAAGAUUUGAAUUUGUGUGAGAGAAGGUGGUUAGAGUUGUGUAAAACUAUGACAUGAGUCUUUUGUAUCAUCUAGGUAAGGCCAAUGUAGUGGCUGAUGCUCUCAACAGGUUAUCCAUGGGUAGUGUUGCUCAGGUUGAGGAUAGUAAGAAUAAGUUCAUCAGCUUUCCAGGUUGGGUGUUCAUUUGGUUGAUUCAGCUAAAGGUAGUGUAUGGGUGCAGAAUAGUUCAGAAUCUUCUUUGGUUUUCAAUGUAAAAGAAAAGCAAGACAAGGAUCGCAGUUUAGUUAAGAUAAAAGAGUCAGUUAGAGAACAAAAAGUAGAGGUUUUCUCCCAAGGGAAAGAUGGUGUGUUGCAUUGUCAGGGUAGGUUAUGUGUGCCAUGAAUGGAUGGCAUGAGGCAACGGAUUCUUGCAGAAGCUCAUGGUGCGCGUUACUCGAUUCACCUGGGGGCCUCUAAGAUGUACCACGACCUGUAGAAGAUCUAUUGGUAGAGUGGGAUGAAGAGAGAAAUUGCAGAGUUUGUGGCUAACUGCUGUACUUGCCAGCAGGUGAAGAUUUAGCAUUAGAAGCCUCGUGGGUCUAUGCAGGAGUUCAAUAUUCCUACUUAGAAAUGGGAGGAAGUGAAGAUGGACUUCGUGAUGGUUUUGCCUCGUACUCGUCAUUAGCAUGAUUCAAUUUGGGUUUUAUGGAAAGGAUGACCAAAUCCGCUCAUUUCUUACUAGUCCAUCCUUUUAUUUAGCCGAGGAUUAUGCCAAGCUCUAUGUUAGAGAGUUGGUCAAAUUACACGGUGUCCCUUUGUCCAUUAUUUCAGAUAGAGGUAUGUAGUUUACAUCUCACUUUUGGAAAGCCUUUCAAAAGGGUCUUUGUACCCAAGCUUACCUCAAUACGGCCUUCCACCGUUAGGCACAUGGUCAAGGAAAAAGGACCAUUCAAACUCUAAAAGAAUGUUAAGAGCAUGUGCCGUUGACUUUAAGGGUAGUUUGGAUGACCACUUGCCUUUGAUUAAGUUCGCGUAUAAUAACAGUUAUAAUUCUAUUAUUCAAAUGGCUCCAUUUGAGGUGCUUUAUGAGAGGAGAUGUAGGUCUCCCAUUGGUUGGUUUGAGGAAGGCAAGACUGCGUCGGCAGGACCUAACUUAGUAUUUGAUGCCUUAGAGAAGGUUCAGUUAAUCACGGAGAAGGUUCAAUUAUCUUUGCAUAUCAUCCUCAUGAUAGUCAUGCAUUCAUAAAUCAGUUUAGUCAUGUAAUCAUGCUUCAUUUAUGUAUGUUCAGUAUUAAAACUCAAUUUAUCAGUAGUUUCAGUCAUGUAAUUAUCUUUUAGUUUUGCAUGUUCAGUAUGUAAACUCAGUCUACCAGUAUUCUCAGCUUAAUUAAUCUCAUUUGAGGUCGAAUGCUCCCAAGGGGGAGAUAUUGUAAGACGCUGCAAAAUCCUAGUCAUUUCAAUCCUAAUAGCAAGCCAAAGAGGUCCCAGACUUAGAAAAUUUUAGCUAAGUGUUGACACUUAGUCUCAUUUUUUGCCUCAAUAUUUCAAUGACUUUAUCUUUUAUAUUUUCGGCCUUGAAUUAUCGAUUUCUAAGUCGAUUCAUAUCAGGGAUGUCAAUAGGUCACCUUGGAUGACUUUUAGAAUUUUUGAAUGUCGCUAGAAGCUUGAUUAGAUGUCCAGAAUAGUGGGUUGAUGUGACUCAAUGUUUCGCAUCAUCCAUCGCGUUGAUAGUAUCAUUACCAAUGUCAGGCAUCAUCACGUCACCAUUGAUGUGGCAUGGCGGCCAUCGCGUUGACACCAUCAAUACGACGCAUUGGCUGCAGCAUUACUGGGAAACAUAAAGCCUUCAGUGUAAUUUUUAGUGAGCCAACAUGAUCACGAUGCAUCGUGUUUUCCAUCGCGUCGAUCCCAUCGAUGCGGUGCGUCGCCAAACACGUCACUGGUCACAUUUUUGCUCUUUUAAUUCUGACUUUCCAAAGGUAAUUGAGUCAUUAGCCAAAACACAAAAUUAAACUAUCAGAAGGGCAAUUACAUUCAUUAUUCACAAAAUCCUCUCAAGAACAAAACUCUAGUCCAUCAAACUCAAGAUCAAGUUACAAGAAAUUCCCUACAAUAUUCAAUAAAUUAAUAAUAAAAGUAUGUUAGGUGUUCAUCCUUGGGUUUCCCUCUACCCUUGGAGUUCAAGAAACCUUUUUAAAUGAUAAGUGAAUUGAUUUCAUGAUUUACAUGUUUGAAUUGGAUUGUGUUCAUGUAUGUAUUAAUGUUUGGUUUUCAAAUCAAGAUUCAUUACAAGUUUCAAGAGAAUUAAUUAACAUAUAUGUAGAAUUAUGUGAUUCUCAUGUUAAACCCUUGAAUUUGUAAAUUGAAUGUCGUAGCCACGAUGUUUAUAUCUUGAUGAUUUCUAUGUGCACUAGUUAUGCUCCCCAAGUGUUUGAUAGAAUACCUAUGUAAAUUGAAGAGUGAAUUCAUGACAUGUUAUCAUGUGGUCCCAUUCAUGUACAAGUUCAUGCCUCUCAAGUGUUUGACAAAAUGUCUAAAUAAAUGCAAGGUGAAUAAGUAAUUAAUGUAAUGCCUUCAAGAUUUUGCCAUGUUUUACUAUUUGAUUUUACCGAGUCCUGGGGGUAUUCAAUACCCGACAAUCUAGUAGUUUACCUAGCAUUACAGUAGCCACAGAGAAGUCUCAAUAAUGUCAUGAACAAUAGUACUCAGUCAAUUACAGAACUCAGUCCAGUUCAAUCAGUCAACACGAUCAGUAGCAGUUCAGUCAAGCCUAAUACAGUCUAGUAAUUAGUUUAGUGUUUAUUCAGUUGAGAGUAGUAGUCAACACCGAGCGAACCUAGGGAUGGGGGCUCACCUGCCAGUUGAGGGUGUGACCAUUAGUAGCCGUCCCUUAGUUCCAAAACUACAUAACCAGUGUAGGUUAAAUAUAUUAACCUGCCAAUUGAGGGUUGACAAAGUGUUCACCUACCAGUUGAGGGUAACACAUAUCUCACCUUCCAGAUAAGGGUGAUUCUUUAGUAGAUCCACAUAGCCAUUAUUAGUACCUGUGGCACGGUGCUAACACCCUUCCAACUGGGGUCAUAGGUUGGACCCCAACUCAGUUUAUAAUUAGGGUAUGUUGGUUAGAUGAACUCUCCCACAGUUACAAUUUCAGUAUUCAGUACUCAGUAAUUAGUAUUGAGUCUUAGAAUUCAAUAAAGAACUCAGAUAGUUCUACAGAGCCAUGGCUAUAAGUUAUCAGUUACUUAGCCAUCAGAACUCAAUACUUCAGUUUUAGUCUAAUUCAGGAAGAGGUUAUAUGUACAGUAUUGUAUAUUCAUCAUGAUCAGUAGUUAUAAUUUUGUUAUGUACUCUUAUUCAGUUAUUUCAUAAUGUUCAUUCAGUCAUUUAUCAUCUCAUGCAUAUAAACCCAUGUAUAUCAGCCUACCUCACUUAGCAUACUAGUACAUUCAAAGUACUAACGCAUACUCUUUAUUUUACGCUAUGAUAUCUUAUAUCAUAGGUUCAGACUUACAGGCUCCUGAUCGUACUUAGCAGCUCAGGUUAUCAGUAGCAGUUAUAGUUGUGAGUCCUCGUGUUUCAAGGACGGAGUUAUUUUUUUCAGCAUUCCAGUAGUUCAGUAUGUUCAGUAUGUUCAGUAGUCGGAGUUAGUUAGGGACUUGUCCCAUUAACUUUAUAUUCAUAUAGUUAGAGGCUUUCGAACUAGACUAUUUCAGACAGAUGUUCAAUUUUUAAAAAUUAUUAUCUGUAUUCAGUAUUUGUUUUUAGUUUAUAAACCUUAUGGAAAUUUCAGCCUAACUUCUGUAUAUAUUUUCAAUAUUAUUAUUAUUAUUAUUUAGUGCUCAUAGAAGGUACCAGUCAUGGGUUAGCUUGUGGUCCUUCGAGAUUGUAAGCACUAUGUGACGCCCAGGGUGCAGUCUCGGGGCAUUACAUUUAUUUCAUUUGAGAUGUCAUUAAGGAGGAAAUUAUCAAGGUCGUGAAUAUUAUCGCAAAUGAUAACACUAUAGAUAUGUUGACCAGGAUAGUAUCGCUCACAAAAGUUGUAUACUAUAAGGACUUGGCGGGCGGAUGCAUCAAUUGAUGCGACUCUGGGAGAGAAACUGUGAGGUGGAUAUAGUACAUGCAAUAAAGAUUUGAUUCUUCUUGUUUCAUACAAUGGCGUUGCCCAGUAAGCUUAGAAUUUGACCAGAGUUAUUCAUACUCAUGCUCAAAAUGUAAAUCAAGGUAGAGAUUGAAAUAGUUCCUUCUCAUUUAUGUGUUGAUCAACUUACCCCUCUUUGUAGUAGUUAUGUGUUAUUUUAGGAGUGUAGGGAUAAUUGGCACAGUUUUUGAUAUAAUCCAGAAUAAUUUGUGUGAAUUUGUGAUUUUUAGGGGUUUGAAAGGCUUCAUAGUUGACUUUGGUCAAAAUUUAUUAUUUUGUGUAACAGAUGAUAAAAAAGAUUGCGACAACAUAUAUGAAACAUCAAUUUUGGAUUGAUAUCAUGGUUGAUUCGAUUUUAUGGAUUUUAGAUUUUAUUUUGGUCCUUAUUUUGGAAAUUAGUGAAAUUGGAUAUCGAGGGUUAAUUUUGUGAAAGCAAUCUCUUUUUAAAAAUUUGAUACAUCCACUGAGUCCAUAAUGUCAAAUUUAGUCUAGUAACAUAUUUCAUAUGCCUUCACAAGAUUAUAAAUGAAUUCCGAGGGGUUAGUCGGCAACUUAGCAAAGUUAUUGAUGUAGUUGUGUCUAAUGUAUCCACUUAAGCGGCCCCCUGGCAAGUGGGUAACUACCGCUAAAGUAGACAUUUGAUUGCUUUAGAGGUAAGGGCCACUUUAGCAGCCUCACACAUAUGGGUUGGACCGCUAAAGCAUUAAGCAAUGCUUAAGCGAUGAUCGCUUUAGCGGUCAUAGUUGGGAUGAUAUAAAAAUCCCCUUUCUCGAUUCCUCUUAUAUUUUUGAGAUUUUGAGCUUCUAGUUAAGAUAUUUUUGGAUGAUUUGUUUCAUUUUCGAUCUUCGAUAAGAUCUAAAUCACUAUUUCAAUUAUUUUACCUUGAUUAUGUCAUUUAAAAAACUUUUAAAACCUACUUUCGAAAGUGAAAUUUGUGGACUUAUGACCCCGAAAGUCCUAAAAUGGUAUUUCUUUGAUUAAAACCUCAUUUUAAACCCAUUUUCACUUGCGUUUUCUCCUAUUGCUUCCAUUAAUAGUGGUAAGGUUUCUAAGUAAAAUUUUGAUUUUACUCUUUCAUUUUGAAAAUCUAUUUUAGGGGUCUAUUUUGACUUCGACUCGAAAUUAGGCAAUAUGGGUAUCGUUGGUUUUUUUUAACAUGCAAAUUCUAUAUUGUAUGUUUUAGUUGAUUUUGUGGUUGUUCGAGAAGGAAAAGCUCUGUGUUAAAGGGCUUUAGGCUUGGACUUUGACGUUGUGAGGUAUGUUAUGGCUUAACUUUCUUCAUACUAGGCUAGGUAGUUAAUAUUUAUAUAAAAACAAGCUAUGGGUAUGGAUAAGAAUCAUGAAAAUGGUAUUUUAACAAUGUUAUUACUAUUUUGUGUUCGUGUGGGGGCUUAUAUUGUUGUUGUUGGUGACUUGAGAUUAUAUUUACUGUGUGUUGCCUAUCUGGGAGCUUUAUCUGAUAUUACUGGCCUUGUAUAUGCAUUGGUUGCUUUCUCCAUGAUAGAAAUACCCAAGUUGGGGUUGAUGUUUUAUUAAUGAUGUCUUACAUGCAUAUUUAUUCCAAUGGUAGAUUGCUUAUAUUAAACCAUGGAUGAUUGACAUAUUGAGUAGCUUAUGAGCUCAUGUGUACAUAUAUUGAAUGGAUUCAAGAUCUUUAUAUUGGUUUGGUUGUGAGAGUUAUAUCCUCAUAUCACACAUGCAUUCAUAAAACAUAGGUAUCAUUGAGGAAAUAUUGAUUAUAGAUAGAAAUAAGACAUUCUUACAAAACUCUCUAUUAUAGUCCACAAGUCAGAGAGGAUAUAUGGAUAUUGAGAUUAGGAUUGAGUAUUGAGAAAGUAUACGAAUUGUGAACCCCUCAUGGGUCCUACUUAGAAGCGUUAAGGCUCAAUAGGUCUAUACAGAGGUUAUGCGAUAAUCUUAGUCAUAUCACAUCAUUAUUAUCAACAUCAUUGCAUUUCAUACAUUUUGCAUCUUUAGUUUUGUGCUUUUGUAUUUGAUUCGAUGCAUAUCUAUUUUUCUUCUUCUACGUACCUAUUUUUCCUGAUUAUGUGCUAUAACUAGAACUGCCACUGGAGACGAUGUGAGGUACCGCUUAGGAUAUUUUUUUAUUACAGGUGACGUGCUCAUAGUAUGUAUUUAUGUACCUUAUAUUCUACUUUUCUCAGUCGACCUAUGAUACCUACUGAGUACAAGUGAAUUCUACUCAUCCCUAGUGUGCCCUUUUCGGUGUAGAUCGAGGAAUGAGCGCAUCACAUGACAACUGAGAUUGUGCCGUCGGUCAUUAACAUUUUUGAGGUAUUGGUCACUCUAUGUCUUCAAAGUUGACCUCCUUUUAUCUAAUUGAUGUCUUUAUUUUGUAUUCAGAGAUAGGCUUGUAUUUUUUGGACUUAGUUGUAUUUUCAGUUAUGAGUUGUACUUUGAUUGUUACACUGUGGCACCAAGUUAUUAGAUGAAUUAUAAUAUCUUUAUUUUUCAGACUUCCACUAUUAUUGUACAUGUAUAGUCUGACUUUGCUCUAGAAAUCUCGCCAUAAAAAUUAUUGUAUUAUUUUCUUCUUACUUAUCAAUUUUGGUGAUUGACUUACUUAUCAAGGCUUAUUUGCAAUAAGUGUCAUCAUGACCUUAGUUUUUGAGCCGUGAAAUUUAAUUUUUUGUUGGAUCAAACCCAUGUGAAAGAAAAUUUUAUGUGUUAAUUUACUUGUCUAGUAAAUGAACUUGGAUAGCAAGCAAAAAUUUGUGGAGGAAAAAUUUUAUAUUUAUUGUUUUCUUAUUUUGUGGUUGGAGUUCAUGUUUGGCCAUCUAUAAAAGGAUGUAACGCCUCAAUUUUCUAAACCGGAAUGCUACACGGUGCUCAUGACCCCGAAGGACCACAAGCUAACCCAUGACUGAUAUUUGUACCUGUAACUGCAUAAUAUACAUAUAAAAUAUGGAAACAUGAACAAAGAGGGCGUAAGGUUCAAUCUUGAAUAAUAAAAUAUCUGAAAUAAGGUGGUAUAACAGUACCAAAACAAAACUAAAAAUACUAAAGUCUAAAUCUAAAAACUCUAUAAUCGUCUGAAAGCCUCUAAACUGUUUGAAUAAGGAGUUGAAGGAACAUGUCUCCAACUAACUCCCUAAAUUGAAAAUAAACUGAAAUACUGGAAUAAUAAAUGUAACGAUCGUGUCCUCGAAAGAUGAGGACUCACUGCUAACUAAAGUGCUACUGUUGAUCUGGAAUCUGCACCUCAGAACCUAUGGUGUAACAUAAAAAGAAAGCACCAUAGCGCAAAUGUGUCAGUACAACUAAAGAACUGGGCAUACGUAGGGGUAGGCUAAAUGCAUGGGGUUUAUAUGCAUGAACAUGCUGACUAAUAUGAACGUGAGAAUACAUACAUACAUACAUACAUACGUAACUGCUACUAAACUCAUGGAGAUACUGACUACUUGAGUUUGAACUCUGACAACAUGAGUUUCGUGAUACUGAGAUACUGAAUGACUGAUAACAUGGAUGACUGUAUCUAACAGUCCUGAUUCCUGAUUUCUACUCUGAAGACUGAUACUAAAACUAUAACUGUAACUGUGGCUGUGGGAGGUAGUAACCUAACCAACAUGCCCCGAUACUGUAGUGGUGCGGUCCAAUCUUUGCCCUGAUUAGAAGGGUGUCAAUACAGUGCCACAGGUAGAGACCUCUACUAUGGUUAAGCCUCUCUGACGGGUAACCCUGAACAGGAAAUCAAGCCUAAGGUAAUAUAAUAGUCAAGUAUAGCGUUAAUCUGAUGGGUGACUCCUUCCCUGUGUUGGCUACGUAGUUCUAGAGUACAGGGAUUAUUGCUAACGGCUCUGCCUUUAUAAUGGGAAAAGUCGUCAUCCCUACACUCGUUCGGUACUAGUCCCUACUCCCAACUGAAAGACUCUAAAAAGAUUAACUGUGCUGAACUGACUAACUGAACUGAAGUGAUUUAUAAACUGAUAACUGAGCUGAUAAUAUUUUCUUAGCUGAACUAAGCUGAAUUCACUGAGUUCCGUUGACUGACGAAACAGCUACUUAAGAUUUGAGGUCUGACUUAGAGUACUGAAACUACUGGGACUACUGAACUACUGAGAUUUCUGAGUUUUUCUGAGUCACAUGACUAACUAAAAUCUAUGGAGCAUAGCUUGACUGAGGAUGUCUUGAAACAUAACACUAGCUCUAGGCACACAGCUAUAGUUUUCGGGUACAAGUACCCCCAGGACUCGAUGGAAGGAAACUGACACACAUGACUGACUUUAUCAUAAGAGUAGAGUCCACAAUUCACAAUAUCAUAAGUAAGGAUUUCAUAAUAAAAUUCUCAACAAACAUCACAUGAUCGGGAAUGCACACAACAUGUAUAUACUUGCAUGGCUUCAUAAACUUAGAACAUGGAAUAGUCAUUUAGUACUUAUUAUGUCAUAAAAGCAUGAUUUCUAUUCCCUUAGGUAUUUUCACAAACACCUUACAUGCACAUCUUAGGCAUAGGUGGAUUCAUCAAGAUUACAAAUAUUUAACCACUAAUUUUACAUAUUUAUACAUUAAAUACCACCAUGUUCUCACACAAGACAUACAAAGAUCCCAUCUUAGGCAUCAUCAAACUCCAACCACAUGAACAUCAACCACCAAUAAUAUAAACAUCAUAAUAAUAAUUUAAAGAUGGUUCUUGAGUUUCAUGGAUGAAAGGAGUCCAUGAAUCAACUCACGUAUAUCUUAUAAGGAAGAUUCUUGAUGAUUGACGGGGGAAUUUCCUUGAAAUUGGAUCUUCAAACUUAAUUAUGCAACCUUAGUUUUUUUUCUCUUUUAGUGCUCUUGGAUGAUGAACUUAAAAUGUUAGUAGGGUUGUAAUGUAAUUAGGAGCUAUAUAUUUCGUAGGGUUUAGGGACGUGUAAGGAGUAUUAAAAGACUUAAUUACCCUCAAAAUAACUUAAAACGGAGUGUUUAAGUCACUUGAAACCAUAAGAUAUGCGCCGCAUAUGAUAUCGCAUAUAUUUACAUAGGCGCCGCAUAUGAUAUCGCCUAAAUUUACAUAGGCGCUGCAUAUGAUAUCGCCUAUAUCUACAUAGGCGCCGCAUAUGCUAUCGCCUAUAUUUACAUAGGCGCUGCAUAUGCUAUCGCAUAUGCUUUCCAGUGGCCAUGUGCUAUUGGUUAGGCGACGCACUCUACUUCGCAAAGCCAUAACUCCUAGCUCGGGUGUCGGAUUUUGAUAAAAUUAGUAUCGUUAGAAAGAUAAUUUGAUUCUCUAUAAUUUACUGGGUAGAAAUAUGCAGAAAUACCAUAUUAAAAUUGAGUUAUACUCAUUCAAAUAUGACCCUUAUGAAAUCAAACACUAAAACUUGAUGGAUUCAAAAACUCGUAGCUUGUAUUACCUUAAGUGACUCGUAUGAACAUGCUUAAUGCAUCAUAAGCUAUAUUAUCGCUAGAAUACUCAUUGUAAGUCAUGUACUCAAGUAUGAAUCAUAGAAUAGGAGAUUUCAUAUGUAGGAAAAAUGGUUUAUCUCCUAUCUUAGAAACAUGCGGGGUAUUACAAUAUCUCCCCCUUGGGAACAUUCGUCCUUGAAUAGAAAUUAACUGAGGCGGAAGAGAUGAUAAGAUGAAGUACGUACAUGACAUAUACUAUUGAAACAUGGGUUCAUGACUGACAUGACUGAAAGAUGAGCACAACAUACUGAAUUGCAUAUCUGAUGCAUGGGAAGAUGAUUCAUGAAUAUAAGACUGAGGAUUCUAAUAAAGUGAGUUUUCUCAAAAUGAGAAUGCAUAUCUGAUGCACAACUGAAAGGCUGAAUCCAUGCAUAUCUGAUGCAUGAUUACAUGACUGACAUGAUAUGUAAAUUUAUGAGUGAAGAUACUGAUAAAAAGUAUUUUCUCUACUGAACACGUAUAUCUAAUGCCUGAAUAUCUGACUGAGCUGACUCUUGAAAGCUUGACUGAUUAUGCCAUGGCACUUGAUAACUAAUUUAUAACGGGAAUAUGAAAUCAUUAAUAAAAGGUGGGGUAUCUCCCCCUUGGGACACUAUGUCCCUCUAGGAAUAUUUACGUUGCUGAGAUACUGGGAUGAUGCACAGGGCAUCUACGAACUAGAUUAUAACUAAAAAUUGGAGAGCUGAAACUAAUGUAUGAUGCAUGAACUAAACUAGACCUGCUAAUGUUACUGACUAACUCAUGUGGAAAUAUAAUCUCAAACGAGCGCAAGAUAUCGAAUAAUGUAUAUAAUGAUCAUGAAAAACUUAUAACGUACCCGAAUCUAGGUUGGGGAAACGUUCUGGAUCAUGGUGAGUCUGGAGUGAAUAGAUUCGAUUCUGAUGCUGACCACUAUUGGUGCUGGGAUUUACGGCCUGCUCACGCGAAUCUCUACCUUUCUGAGCUAACACUCUACACUCCCGCAUUCUGUGGCCUGGCUUACCGCACCCAAAACAUACCUGACUAUUAGCUCUGCAUGCACCUAGAUGAUUCUUGCCACACUCUCCAUAAAGAGGAUAAGUACGCUCACUUCUAACACUACUCUGGGCUUUGGAGCCUGGCACCCCACCAUGACUAACAUCUCCAAAGUUAGGUGUGGGCACACUAGCUGAAGAUGGAAUAAGGGAUGAAUUUUUCUGACUAUGGUAAGAACGAUUACCGCCCUGUGACCCAGCCAGAGAAAAGUUCUAACCACCUGUUCUGAAUCUCUUAUUAGAUCUCUCCCUCUCCUUAGACUUAUCUACCUCUAUCUGCUGAGCAUGUAUCAUUAACCUAGUAAGGUCCAUGUCCCUAUUGAGCAUAUCUGUUCUACACUCUUACCCGGAAACACCACUCACAAUCUUACUCAUACUCGCCCUAGGGUCUGCUAUUAAGUCAGCAGCAUACUUAGCUAACUGGUUGAACUUAAGACAAUACUCCUUCACUGUCAUGGAGCCUUGUCUCAGGUUCAUAAACUCUUCUACCUUAGCUUCUCUCAUCUCUAAUGGGAUUAUCUAAGAAGGCAUCCUAAAAUAUCUGCCAAGUUAUGGGAGUUGCAUCUUUCUCUCUACUCUUCUUCCACAACACUACCCAAUAAUGAGCAAUAUCUUUUAGCCUACAGGACGCUAAUUCCACACUCUCCUUCUCUAACACGUGUAUGAUUUGGGUGAUCUUCUUUACCUCUUCUAGAUAUAGCUAUGGGUCCUCACCUAUUACUGACCCAAAGAAUUUUAAGGGUUCAUUCUCAUAAAAUUUUUGGUUCUGGCUGCAGUUGAAUCCCCAUCUUGCUGGGGUGGGGUUGUAGUUUGUCGGUUUCCCUGUACACUAGUGGUCACAACCUGGGUUAGCACCUAAAAAGCUACCCGAAAUUCUGCAUAUGACACAUUCUUAUUCAAAUGAUCUGCGGGCUGUGGGGCUGACUGAUUCCCUUCUUUUCUUAGAAGGCAUGUUCUGCAAACAGAAGAGGAAUAAGGAUUAAACUAAGAGUUCAACUUGAGCUUUUUCUUACUGGCAUGAUAUAAGUACUGAAAGAAGGGAAACUGUUCCUAAAACAUCCUAUAGCCUCCUGUAAAUAAAUGUGGCGUGCAACACACCCAUGUACAAGACACUACUAGAUGCGGCUUUCAGACUUUCUAGAACUCUAUUGAACCUUAGUCUCUGAUACCAAAUUUGUAAUGCCUCGAUUUUCUGAACCGAAAUGCUACACGGUGCUCAUGACCCCAAAGGACCACAAGCUAACCCUUGACUGAUAGUUGUACCUGUAAUUGCAUAAUAUACAUAUAAAAUGCAGAAACAUGAACAAAGAGGUCAUAAAGUUCAAUCUUGAAUACUAAAAUAAGGUGGUAUCACAGUACCAAAACAAAACUGAAAAUACUAAAGUCUAAAUCUGAAAACUCUAUAAUCGUCUGAAAGCCUCUAAACUGUAUGAAUAAGGAGUUGAAGGAACAUGUCUCCAACUAACUCUCUAAACUGAAAAAUAAAUUGAAAUACUGGAAUAAUAAAUGUAACGAUCAUGUCCUCGAAAGAUAAGGACUCACUGCUUACCGAACUGCUACUGCUGAUCUGGAAUCUGCACCGAAGAACCUAUGGUGUAACAUAAAAAAAAAACACCAUAGCGCAAAUGCGUUAGUACAAAUAAAGUACUGAGUAUACGUGGGAGUAGGCUAAAUGCAUGGGGUUUAUAUGCAUAAACAUACUGACUAAAAUGAACGUGAGAAUACAUACAUACAUACCUACAUACGUAACUACUACUGAACUCGUGGAGAUACUGACUACUUGAGUUUGAACUCUGUCAACAUGAGUUUUGUGAUACUGAGAUACUGAAUGACUGAUAACAUGGAUGACUGUAUCUAACAGUCCUGAUUCCUGAUUUCUACUCUAAAGACUAAUACUGAAACUAUAACUGUAACUGUGACUGUGGGAGGUAGUAACCUAACCGACAUGCCCUGAUACUGUACUGGUGGGGUCCAAUAUUUUCCCUGAUUAUAAGGGUGUCAAUACCGUGCCACGGGUAGAGACCUCUACUAUGGUCAAGCCUCUCUGACGGGUGACCCUGAACAGGAAAUCAAUCCUAAGGUAAUAUAAUAGUUAAGUAUAGCCUUAAUCUGACGGGUGAAUCCUGCCUUGCGCUGGCUACGCAGUUCUGGAGUGCAGAGAUGGCUGCUAACGGCUCUGCCUUUAUAACAGGAAAAAUUCACAUCCCUACACUCGCUCGGUGCUAGUCCCUACUCCUAACUGAAAGACUCUAAAAAGAUUAACUGCGCUGAACUGACUAACUGAACUGAACUAAUUUAUAAACUGAUUAACUGAUCUGAUACUAUUUUCUUAGCUGAACUAAGCUGAAUUCACUGAGUUUCGUUGACUGAUGAAAAAGCUACUUAAGAUCUGAGGUCUGACUGAGAGUACUAAAACUACUGGGACUACUGAACUACUGAGAUUUUUGAGUUUUUCUGAGUCACGUGACUAACUAAAAUCUAUGGAGCAUAGCUUGACUGAGGAUGUCUUGAAACAUAACACUAGCUCUAGGCACACAGCUAUAGUUUUCGGGUACAAGUACCCCCAGGACUCGAUGGAAGGAAACUGACACACAUGACUGACUUGAUCAUAAGAGUAGAGUCCACAAUUCACAAUAUCAUAAGUAAGGAUUUCAUAAUAAGAAUGAUUCUCAACAAACUAUCACAUGAUCGGGAAUGCACACAACAUGUAUAUACUUGCAUGGCUUCAAUAACAUGGUCAUUCCAUAUCACAACAAUAUCAUGAGCAUCUCAUACAACAUCUUCAAUUCAAGACAAUAGCAUGGGGAUCACGUUGAACAUAAACUUAGAACAUGGAAUAGUCAUUUAGGACUUAUUAUGUCAUAAAAGCAUGAUUUCUAUUCCCUUAGGUAUUUUCACAAACACCUUACAUGCACAUCUUAGGCAUAGGUGGAUUCAUCAAGAUUACAAAUAUUCAACCACCAAUUUCACAUAUUUAUACGUUAAAUACCACCAUAUCCUCACAAUAAACAUACAAAGAUCCCAUCUUAGGCAUCAUCAAACUCCAACCACAUGAACAUCAACCACCAANNNNNNNNNNNNNNNNNNNNNNNNNNNNNNNNNNNNNNNNNNNNNNNNNNNNNNNNNNNNNNNNNNNNNNNNNNNNNNNNNNNNNNNNNNNNNNNNNNNNNNNNNNNNNNNNNNNNNNNNNNNNNNNNNNNNNNNNNNNNNNNNNNNNNNNNNNNNNNNNNNNNNNNNNNNNNNNNNNNNNNNNNNNNNNNNNNNNNNNNNNNNNNNNNNNNNNNNNNNNNNNNNNNNNNNNNNNNNNNNNNNNNNNNNNNNNNNNNNNNNNNNNNNNNNNNNNNNNNNNNNNNNNNNNNNNNNNNNNNNNNNNNNNNNNNNNNNNNNNNNNNNNNNNNNNNNNNNNNNNNNNNNNNNNNNNNNNNNNNNNNNNNNNNNNNNNNNNNNNNNNNNNNNNNNNNNNNNNNNNNNNNNNNNNNNNNNNNNNNNNNNNNNNNNNNNNNNNNNNNNNNAACCACCAAUUUCACAUAUUUAUACAUUAAAUACCACCAUAUCCUCACACAAGACAUAUAAAGAUCCCAUCUUAGACAUCAUCAAACUCCAACCAUAUGAACAUCAACCACCAACAAUAUAAACAUCAUAAUACAUAAUUUAGAAGAUGGUUCUUGAGGUUCAUGGACGAAAGGAGUCCAUGAAUAAAAUCACGCAUACCUUAGAAGGAAUAUUCUUGAUGAUUGACGGAGGAAUUUCCUUGAAAUUGGAUCUUCGAACUUAAUUAUACAACCCUAGUCGUUUUUCUCGUUUAGUGCUCUUGGAUGAUGAACUUAAAAUGUUAGUAGGGUUGUAAUGUAAUUAGGAGCUAUAUAUUUCGUAGGGUUAAGUUUAGGGACGUGUAAGGAGUAUUAAAAGACUUAAUUACCCUCAAAAUAACUCAAAAUGGAGUGUUUAAGUCACUUGAAACCAUAAGAUAUGCGCCGCAUAUGAUAUCGCAUAUAUUUACAUAGGCGCCGCAUAUGAUAUCGCCAAAAUUUACAUAGGCGCCACAUAUGAUAUCGCCUAUAUCUACAUAGGCUCCGCAUAUGCUAUCUCCUAUAUUUACAUAGGCACCGCAUAUGCUAACGCAUAUGCUUUCCAGUGGCCAUGUGUGAUUGGUUAGGCGACGCACUCUACUUUGCAAAGCCAUAACUCCUAGCUCGGGUGUCGGAUUUUGAUGAAAUUGGUAUCGUUGGAAAGCUAAUUAGAUUAUCUAUAAUUUGGUGGAUAGAAAUAUGCAGAAAUACCACAUUAAUAUCAAGUUAUACUCAUUCAAAUAUGACCCUUAUGAAAUCAAACACUAAAACUUGAUGGAUUCAAAAACUCUUAGCUUGUAUUACCUUAAGUGACUCAUAUGAACAUGCGUAAUGCAUCAUAAGCUAUAUUAUUGCUAGGAUACUCAUUGUAAGUCAUGUACUCAAGUAUGAAUCACAGGAUAGGAUAUUUCAUAUGUAGGAAAAAUAGUUCGUCUCCUAGCUUAGAAACAUGCAGGGUAUUACAAAGGAUGACCUUCUUCAAUGUUAAAACUAUCCCAAAAUUCAUAAACUAAUCUUUAUAAUAGUAAAGGGUUGUGAGAACAAUUCUCUUCAGAGCUCUCUCCUUUCAUUAUUAAUGUAAAGACAUUCUCUUCAGAGCUCUCUCCUUUCUUUAUUAAUAUAAAGACAGUUGUUCUCUGGUGGAUGCAGGAUCAUUCGGAUCCGAAUCAUUUUAAAUAUUAUAUUUUUCACUUGUUCUUUAUUUCACAUUUCUGAUAACAACAUCUUUGAUUUGGAAUGAUAUUUAAGAAAGAAAGAAAGAAAGAAAGAAAGAAAUAUUUUUGAAAUUAGUCAUCUAAAAUAAUUUUUGAAUAUUUAUAUGAUUACAAAUAUUUUAUUAAAGGUAAAAACAAAAAUUUAUAAGUGUGUCAUAUAAAAUGUUGCAACGGAGGGAGGGAGAAUAGUUUUGUACUGAAACAAGAAUGGCUGAAUAUUGAGAACCUAUGUGGUUCGCUGUCACGACCCAAACCGAGGCCCUGGCCGCGACGACCAUCCCAAAUUGUGAAGGCCCGAGAGCUCUUCUAUCUGUUAAUCAUGUGCAUACUUCAUCUACUAUAGAAAUGUAGAAAAUCAAUACGGAAACAUGGUCACUCUCUUAUUUCAUCUAACAAUACGAGUAUGAAUCCAUAAACAUUAACAUCAGUCUGCGAGAUCUCUAACAAUACGAAAACAACAUCUAUCUGAGAACCGGGAUAAAUCCCCCGGUCGGACCAUGAACUAAAAUCAACUGACAAUAUUUCAUAAAACAAGGCCUCCUAAACAAGAGAGGCUCACCAACUGCAAACUUCUAACAAACCAAUCUACUUCUUAGCGGGACCUCGGGACUAAGCCUUAGAUCUUGAAAGAUAGGGGGUCAAUACAAAUAUAUUGGUAUGGAGAGCAAUCCAAAAAUCAAAAUUCAUUUUUUAUACAACAUAUAUGAGAGAAUUUCAUAAAAAUGUAUCAUCACAUAGCAUUUGAAAAAACAUGGGCAUAAUCUGAUAUAUUUCAAAACAUAUUCUUCAAGAUCCUGACUCUACUCUUUCUUCUCUUCUAUGUUAGAUGGUACACCCUACAAUCUGUAAUUCCAUGGGCUAUAUGGAAUCUACCCUUGACUCGGCGUCCAAGACCCCAACCUAAGUUUGCCACAAAGGUUGGAGUCUCUGUAUCUCUACUACACUACAGGGUCAUCGCAGCAUACAAUUCCCUUUUGGGAAAAUAUGAAUCCGUAUCGGCAAAUCACGAUUUUGGACAAUGAGUUAUCUAACUCGUGUAUUCUUUGGGUAACCGUCUAACUCUCUUAAGCCCAAUUUUAGACUCUUUAAAAAAUAUCUUCUUUGAAAAGUUCUUUCUUUCUUAAUAUCUUUGGGCACUUCAAAAAUAGGGUAUCGUCAUACCCAGACUUGUAAGUCAAGUAACAAUAUCUCUACUUCCCUUAUCUUAUUUCAAAAGGUAUUGAUUGACCACCAAACAAUUCAAUUAUCAAAUGAUAGUUCACCAUUCAAAACAUUUAAAAAUCAACAAUUUUCUCUGCAAUGCUUGUAUCUACGGUGGUCAUCUUUCAACUUAAAGCCAUUCUUAUGGGAAAACAUGAUCAUUUAUAACACAAGUUGAACACCCUCUAAUUCUCCCAUAAAAUAGUACAGUUAUACAUAUCAAUUCAUCAACAGACUCAAGCCUUUAGCAAUUUGCAUUAUCAAUUUACAACAUGUAAAAAACAAGGGAUUUUCAUAGUAAAAGAGGGAAUUACAUAUCCCAUGCUCUCAUUUAGCUCCACAAUUUUAAUAUCACAUGAUCAAACAAAAAUAAUUCGAGUUUUAAACACCACUUUACAAUUUCUACAAUACUUCAUCAAAUCAUAGGGUUUUCAAUACAUGUUCAUCAAGAUCUUGAAACCAAUUUCGUAUGUAUACAUAUAUACUCUUUAAAUCAAGUUUAUAAAAUAGUAAAUCCAUGCCCAUGAGGUUUAGGAUAGUCUCCCAUACCUUAGGUUUCUUAAUUCAAAGGAUAAAACCCAAACCUUGAUUCGUUUCUUGGGAAUCUUGAACUUAGAAGUUGAACUUUUAGCUUUUGGGGGAGGGCUAGGGUUUUGUUUAUGAGAAAAACUAAUGAAUUUAGGGCAUAUAAUGCCCUAUAAAUGUUCUAAUCUUUUGCUAAUACGAUUUGUGGCUAUUGAAAAAGUCUAAACUACCCUUCAAAAUUAAACUUUUCAGCAAAAUCCCAUUUUUGGGACUCACCGUGACGCGCCAAAGGGCUCACCACUAUUCUCACCGCAACACAGUGCAAUCGCGAUGAGCUAUAGGUUUUUUUUGACAAUUUCCCUUUUGGACUUCACCACGAUGCGGUGAGUGCCUCACCACCAUAUCCACCACGACGCGGUGCAAUCGCGGUGGGCUACUAUUUUCAAAGUCCAAACACAUCCCGAACCCUAUCCAAAAAAUCUAAAACCUUCUCGAGAUAUCCUCUCAACACACUUAAACAUGAAUUGACUCAAAAAUCUAUGUCUCGGGGUCGGAAAGAUAAAUUUAAAAGAUCAUAGAAGUUAAAGGAUUAAAAAUUUGACUAAGUCUUUUCAACACUUGGGAUAUUUUUAGGUUGAUAGCCCUCUAUGCAUGCUACUAAGAGCGGUAUAAAAUCGAGAACUCUACGAGGUGUUACAUUCGCUCCCUUACCUUUUAAAUAAAGGGAAAAGUAAUUGUUUACACCAUAAACUAUAUUGAAAAAUCAAAUACACACUAAACUAUUAUGACAACCUCUUACACACCUCUACUACUUAAAAGCAAAUUUAUUUUCACCCUAGAAGCUGAUGUGGCAACAAAAUUAAAAAGAAAAAGAAUAAAUAGCGCGUGCAAGAGUAAAUUUAAAAAAAAUAUUAGAAAAUAGUUCAUCCUCCAUAGACAUCCCUAAGCCAUUUCUUCAUUUCUUAUUCUUAACAUUCCCAUCUUCUCUUCUCCUUCUUUUUUUCUAUCCAAACCCAUUUUAUUUCUUUCACUAAAUCAUCGAUUACAUAUUCUUCAAUAUUCUCUGCCUUGAGCUUGAACAAAAUUUCUAAUGGUGAUAAUAUUUAGUGGGGUGAUAAAAUUGAUGGUGAUAUAUCAUUUAUUUUUAAUAAUUGACAAUAGAAAUGGUGCAAUUUUGGUGGUGAGUGAUGAAAUUUGUGAUAGGGAUUAUGCUUAAAUCCGAUGGAGGCACUGAAGGUAGAUCUGGUAUAGGAUGAUUUUGAUCAUAAGAUGAGUUUCUUAAUAGUGCAAUUAAAUACUAUUGAAGAAUUUUCAGUGCAAGAAAGUUUUAGAUUGAAGUUUUGAACAAAAGAAAGAAAGAAGAUCAGGAUAUGGAUUUUUUUGGGGUAAACUCCAAUGGUUAAUUUUAUUGAAUAUAUGGUGAUUCUUUGUAAUUUUGUUAUGGUGGAAAUGUUUAUGGGGUGAUUCUGAUAGUGAAUUUAGUUGUGGAUAGUGAAUCUAUAGUGAUGGAUAUAUGAAUUUGAUGAUAACAACGGUGGCGAUGGCAAUGGCUUGAUGGAGGUUUGGUGGUGUUGUAGUGAAGAUAAUUCAAUUAGGUAAUAUAUAGAAAAUUUUAAAUAGAAUCUGAUGAAAAAUUUGAUGUGCCAGUGAUGUGGCGUGAGUACAAAUCACUUCCAUCAUGUGACUAGUUAUAGGUGUGCAAGGGUGGACAUAAAUUCACUUUUAUAUAGUUGAUGUGCGUAUUAAGUCACUUUAAUAGUUUAUGUAUGUCUUUGACUUUUCAAAUAUAAUUUAAGGUGAAAACCAUGAGUUUUUUUCAUUAUACUAGAAGUACAAGUAAGAAUUAGGGGAUCGACAUGGUUUCUUACAUGUCUUUUAAAUUGUGUUUAGGAAAUUUUAGUAAUUUAUUUUGGCUGCAUAAAUUGUGUGGGGUUUUCUAUUGUUACCAGGUUAGUUUUAGUAGAGUGAAAGGUGUCAUUCGUGCCUCUUACCACCUCAUAUCUUACAACGUCACCACAUCUUGUAAUCUCAUUUAUACUUCUUUCUUUAAUUCUCAUUUGAGCUUGGUGUUCCAGAUUUUAGGUGAGCUAUUCCAUCAAGUAUUUCUUCUUUAUUGGAGCCUUCACAUAUUUUUUAUCCAAUUUUUUUCCUUAAGGUGAUUAUUUCUAACGAAUAACAAUCAUUGAAAUUAUGCAUUCAAAGUAUUUGAUUAUAUGCUCGAUUCAGUUUAUUUGGUGUGAUGGAGUUCACUAAUUAUAUUUAGUAAUUAUGAAAAGUUAGAAAACUCAAUUUAUGGGUUUGUAUUUUAUGUAUUUGCUGAAUAUAGCCUGUUUUACAUGUGAGUUUGCGAUGUUCUUUCAACUUUUAGUUGAAAGUUUUGAUCUUUCUAGGUUUUUUAAUGAAACACCCUAGUUUCUGGACCUUAAAAAAUUUCUUAGAAUUCUAAUGUCUGGACCCAAUAUGAAUCAUGGGUACGAGCCAUAUGUUGGGGUACGAAUAGUAUCGUCCAGUCUUAUACUACUAGUGUUGGUUGGUGGGAUAGAUUUUGGUCAUUGGAUAGGUACGACUUGAAUGGUAUAACUUGAAUGGUAUGAGUCGUAUGGUUGGAUAUGGAUCGUUUGGUUUGGGUUUUCCUUAGCUUAAUCUUAGACUUGGUAAUUAAGUUAGAUUUGAGUACGAGUGGCUCACUAUGAGCCAUAACCCAGGGUAUGAGUUAUACCCAGGACUCGUAGGGUGGUCAGUGUUCAAACCUCCUGUAGAUUCUAUUCUGCCAGAGAUACGGGUGAAUGGUACGGAUGGCAUGUUUUCAAUACGACUUAGAUAGGAUAAGUUGUACAUGGGACAGUAUUGGGUCCAAGGGUUGAGACUUUAGAUACGAGUGGUAGGUACCACUCGUAUCGAAUGGUACAACUCGUGAGGGUCUAUCGUACCCUUAUGACGGAAUUUUUUUGCAACUUAAGUGAGGGUAAUAUGGAUAAUUUCCCAACUUACCCUAGUAAGUCCCCAAAAAUUUUAACUCACUUGGGAAGUUAUUUACCCUAUUAUUCUAUUCACUAACACUUAGAAACUCUUCCUAAACGCUUUAUAAUCCUCUCAAGAGCUCUUGGGCAAGGAAGUUAGGGUUUCAACUAAAGGAUUAAUUUGGGGAUCUUGUUGGUGGUUUCUCUCCAUCUACCUUAUCAAUUAAGGCAUGUUCUUUUCCCUCACUGUUAGUUCCAACUAAAGGCAUAGUUUUUAUGAAUAGUUUUCAUGAUUUCAUUGUUGUAUGACUUUGGGUAUUCAACUAUGAUUUGGGGGUUUUGAUUACAAAUGAUUAUUUAUGGUUUCCCGUGGUUUUAAUUAUGUGUUUACAUGCUUAAUUGGUGGUUUUGGAUAAUUGGAUUGCAUAGGAAUGGUUAACUGGUAAUUAGAAUUGGUUUUGGUUAUAUUAUGCUCCCAAUAUGUUUGACAAAAUGCCUAUAAGGAUGUUUUCAUUUCAUUUACUAUUUUUAAUGGAACUCUUGCUUGCUUUAAACUUGGUAAAGGAAUUGUACAUGGUUUACAUUGUUUGAAAAGAUAAAAAGGCUAAUUGGUAAUGCUUGCAGGGUAUAUGAGAAUCCCCCAAGUGGUUUAGUAUAGUUAAUGGAAGGGUACAUGGAAUCCCUUAAACCUAUAUAUGGUACAAAACUUGCAAGUAUAGUCGGUAUGAUGAUACCUCUACUAAUGUCCUUGGUUAAUAAAUGGUUAAUGGAUUGGUUGGUUGCUCGAUCAUGGUUUUAAUUAGGCAAUAAUGGCGGGGUGUGUAGCAAAGCUAUAGAAGGUGGAGGUCCCAGGGGGACUAAAACUAGAAACUCAUAUUUGUCGAUGUAAGGUUUGGUCCAAGUGACGGUGUGCAUGAUGUCACACUUUAUAUUUAGGGGGAUGUACCAGUCAUUUUAAGUUUUCUUCUCCGAUCGUGCGGCUUCACGCACAGGGGCCCUUUCGACAGGGGGAGCUGAACCCAUAUAGACCAUGGGUGGUUUAGGACGGCAAAGCUACAUAGCCCAGGUAAAGGUUUUAAUGGCAUGCUAAACCCGGCUCCCUUUUCUAGCAUGGUUAUAUAUAUAUGUGUGUGUGUGUGUGUGUGUGUAUGUAUGUAUGUAUAUAUGUAUAUAUAUAUGUAUGUAUGAUGUGUGUAUAUGGAUGGCUGUUACUUGGUUUUAUAAAUGGAAUUAUAUUAUCCUUAUCCUGAGUUCAUGCUAGCGUUCACCCGCUAACCCAUCUUCGCGCGGCUGUAUAACUAUGCUAUGCAGAAACCAAUCGCUCUACUCUUCCUACAUAGUGAUUGACUAGGGGACAGCUGUUGGAUUGAAGUGGUGGGCUUUUAUCUUUCUGGAAGGCUCCAGUUCAUGUUAUGGAUAUUUUUAGAUUUCAUUUAUUUUCGAAUAUUGAUUUUGGCUAUGGUUAAGGGCAUGUCCCAACCGAAUAUUCUUACUCUUUUGGUUAGAGGCUUUGUGGCAUUGCUAUGGGUUGGAUUGGGCGGAAUUGAUAUUGGUGUCGGCCUUAAUAUUAGCAUUGGUAUUGGAGCUGACAUCAUUGGACAUAAUUUCUCAACGUUCCAUCGUAUUUUAUUUUGGAAUUAAUCAUAUUAUGUUUUGAAACUCACUUGGUUAUGGAUUGGUUUAUAGCCCUUGGUUCGGUGUUGGUUUGUCUUGGUGGUUUGGCUGGUAUAGUUUGGUGGACGGGAUGACUUGGUAGGGUUGGUUUUGGAAUAGACCUAUCCCAAAGUCAGUCCAGUUACGCUAUCUUGUUAUAUAUUCGAAAUUCAGCUAAUUCAGGGCAGGCGACUGAAGGUUGGGUUGGGUAACGGGGGUGGUGUUCGGACCCGGUCAGACCUAGGACGCCUAUUACGACAAGGCCCCUGGUCGAGUCGGGUCAUUGGAUAGGUUAGUUUACAGGAGAGUAAUGAUCGUCGAGCUUUUUGCACUUUAUUAACUAUUACUCAAAAUAGUAAUCUUGAGAACUUUUUGCAGUUCGUUAAACUGCAUGAUUUUUGUGCAUAUUGAUAUAUAGUAAAUCUAUUAUUAAUUUUAGUAUAUAUCAAGGCACAAGUAUUAAAAGGCUAUUUGAUCUGUACUCAUAAGUGAUUGAGUUGAACAGUGAGAAUUUCAUAAAAUGGUUAAUUGUGUUUGCACCAAAUUGGAGAAAUAUGGCAGCGAAAUAUAGGAUACAACUAAAGUUAUUGAAAUUGAAUCUAAAUAUUCGAAGGUUGUUUGAAUUGUACAAUAUUAGAAAAGAGGUAUGCCUUCUUUGCUAAUGUUUUCGAUAUAGGUUGGUUUUACUAUUGUGUUCUUAAUUGCUAAUAGGUUGUGAUCGUGGUUUCUAAGUUGAUAAAUAAGGGGAUCCAUAUUUGGCAAUAUGGAAGCUCAAAGAUACACUCAGCAAAUUUCAACAGAUUGAUAUUUUUUGGUAACUUCUUCAGUAUCUUAGCUGUAAAUAUUGCUUAUGAAUUAUAAAACUACAUGGUCAAUUCGUGUCCCAAAUGACAUUCUAUGUAUACUAUAUGUAAUACCCCGAACUUCUACCUAGCUUAAAUUCAUCCAAAAAAUGUUAAAGACUUGUUUCAAAGAUGAAUCCACUUUUAUACAUGUGGUAUUUUCUAGAUUUUCACUUUUUGUCGUGCAGAAAAUUUAAUAAGCUUUCCAUAAAUACCAAAUUCGCGCAAAUCCAACACCCGAGCAAAGAGUUAGAGCCUUUUUAGGGAGACAGUGUAUAACUUGAGCCAUCAGCACAUCGCGGAGCAGGUCAAAAUGGCAAUCAUCAAAAUUCAGUGAGCCUCCGCGAUUAUGGCACGUCACGCCAGGGUUCAAAUUCAGAAUCAUUCUUUUUUCAGUGUCUCAGUGCGAUACCACCGCGUCGUGGUGAACUUCCAGGUCUCAUCCAGUAUUGCAACGCGAUUUCACCGCAUCACGCCAUCAACCCAGUUCCCAGUUGGCAAUUUCCAGUGACACGGUGCGAUAGCGCCGCAUCGCGCCAGCCUGCCAAAUCGGGAAAUUUUUUCAGAAAUAAAAUACGCAUCCAAGGGUUAAAAGGGUUAAUUUUUCAACCCUAUAUAAACCCAAUAACACAUGAUUCAGCCUUAUUUUAUCCAAAAUAUAGGGUUUCUCUCAAGAAUAAGCUAGAGUUUUCAAUUGGGGAUUCAUAUUCAAGACUCAAAUUCAAGAAUCUCUCCGUCAAUCAUCAUAGAAUCAAGAACUAAGGUAUGCACAGUGUUCAUUCAUUGAUUCCUUUCAUCCAUGAAGCCCAAGAAUCAAGUUUUAAAUCUUGUAUUGUGAAUAUUUUAUUUUGGGUUGAUUAUGUUCAUGUGAUUAUGAUUGUAUGAUUCCCAAGUUGGAAUCUUUAUGUGUUGUUCAUGAACCUAUGCUAGUAUGUGGUCUGAAACAUAUGAAAUUGAGUUGAAAUACGGAGUUUUGUUGUAUUAAUUUGAUGCCCAUGCCUAUGCCCUAAGUCAUGCAUCCUAGGUGUUUGAUAAAAUGCCUAAGAGAAUAAAAAUUAUACAAUAUAUCUUAAUUAUGACCCAAGUGAUAAAUACAUGCUUUACCCUAUGACCAAAAAUGACUUCCAUGAUAUUAUGUGUAUUAUCAAUGGUUGAGGGAAUGUCCAUGAGAAUAGGUUUAUGAAAGUAUGACAUGUUUAUAUGCAAUUCCAUUCAUGUGCAAGACUAUGAUAACCAUGUGCUUCAUGAAACCCCCAACUUGAUGUAUUAUGAAUUGUUGAUAUUGGUCAUGUGUUUAAGAAGUGUCAUGUUCUGUCAGUUUUAUGCUAUCGAGUCCUGGGGGUAUUUAUACUUGACAAUUUAGCUGUGUGCCUAGAUCCAGUGUCAUGUUUUCAUGAUACUCUCAGUUAAGCCAUGAUCAGUAGAAUUCAGUCAGUCAAGUGACUCAAGAAAACUCAGUAGACUCAGUAUUAGUCUAGUCUCAUUUAGUAAUCCUAGUAAUCUCAGAAAUCUCAGUGAUCUCAGCCAGUCAUCAUGUCUCAAUAAUAUUUCGUCAGUCAAUGGAACUCCAUGAAUUCAUUUUAGUCUAGUUCAGUUAAUCAUGUUCAGUGUCUAUCCAGAUGGGAGUAGGAAUUAGCACCGAGUGAACCUAAGGAUAGGAACACACACUGUCAGAUAAGGGUGUGAUUCUUAGAAGUCAUCCUUGCAUUCCAGAACUAUGUAGCCAGCAUAGGUUGAGACAUCAAUACUGUCAGAUGAGGGUUGAUGACCGUUCUCUUUUAGUGGACACUAUCAGAUGAGGUUUUGAAAUAACUGAUAUUGAGCGACUGUAUCUAAUAGUCUAGGUUCUGAUGGAACUAGCUGAGUUUUGUAUAUUCUAAUGUUGACUGUAGCUAACAGUCCUAAAAUUUGAAAAACUAUCUGAGUUCUAUUACUGAGACUGAAUGGCUGUAUCUGAUAGUCUUGAUUCUGUAACGGAAACUAUGGGAAGUAGUAAUCUAAUUGACAUGCCCCUAAUAUGCCAUUAUGGCUGAGUUGGGGUACAAUAUGUAACCCCAAUUGGAAGGGUGUCAAUACCACACUACUGGGUAAGAUGUGUAUUCUUAGAUCAUUGAAUAUUGUGUGUCAAGUUUCUAUCUCUUGUAAUCUUGUUAUCAUUGUGUUGUUAAAAUCGAAAGUCUAGUGAAGCCGUGUGGGGCUCUUUCGAUUCACUAGCAUAGCUGCCUUGUCAUUCAUCUUAUUUUCUUGUUCAAAAAAAAUCAAAGUCUAGUGAAGCCAUGUGGGGCCUAUUUCGAUUCACUAGCCACUUUUGUUCAUCUUGUUGUUCCUGUGUUGGUUGGGACUGGGGGUUUAGUGGUGUAAUGGAAAGAAAAGUGGUAAGGGUGAUUUAUUGAAUAUAUGUAUGGCCGAAUCUUUUUGCAUGAGAUUGAGUUGGUAAUAAAGUAAUAUUUCCCUGUGUGUUAGUUAAGUAGAAGGUAAGGUAGAGAAGGAGUUAUUAGUUAAGGAGAAUUAUUGUUAACUUGAAGUAUGAAAAGAGUUGUUGACGGUGUUUGUCGUGCAAGAAAAUUAUAGGUUAUUGAUGAAGGUACUUGGUGGAUGAGUGUUGCUAAUUUAGAUGCCCCUAAAGUUGCAAGAGGGAGUUUAGUUGGGACUUAUAGAGCUAUGAACUAAUUUUAGUUGUAUAAAAGGGUAGAUAGUAAUGAUGUGAGAAGGAGGAUGUGUUAAUGGAUUUUAAAUAAGAUAGAUCAUAGGAUUGUGAUUGAUCCUUACUGUUAUGAAAUUUUGGCGGAUUAAUGUUUUCAGAUGUUUAGCAUGUAAGGAAAUUGUGUGAAGUUGUGGUUCAUCAUAGCUAGAACUAGACACUAAUUUGGAACAGUAGAUGGCGAUCAAGGUGGAUAUAAUAAUUGUUGUGGUGGGUGUUAGUUGUGUGAAAGUGAUCUAGUAGGCUUGAACAGUGUAUACAAGAGCUUAAGUUUAUUUGUUUCGUAAUCAAGUCUGAUGUUGUAAGUAUGAUGUAGAAGUACGCCCAAGGUGCUAUGGGGCUGCAUUAUUUUCAAGGAUCAUUGCAUGUUGUAUGGUUAGUAGUACUGAGUUGCUAGGCGGAGAAAGACUAGUUAGAUAAUAUGUGAUGUUCUUGAUAGCUAAGUUAUGGAGUUAUGAUUAAUGAUGUUGAGCCUUUUUUGCAUAAUCUUGAUUCUCAUGGUUUAGAAAUAUAAGUUUGUAGGUAGACAAUGACAGAAGUGGUAUGGUCCAUCAAAGGUUUAGAGAUAUCCAUAUUUAGUGUUAGAAGAAUCUAAGUUGGUGAAUGUUUAAGCUGUUAUAUGAUGACUUUUGGGGCUAUAGAAACCUAAGGGUUGAAUCUUAGAAGGAGGUAUUAGCAUUUGUCGUUAUACAUGAAGAUACCACCUUACUGGGUAAGUUUAGUUUUAUGUGUAUUGUUAUAUCCCCGACUCUAGAGUAAAGUGAUUUUAGUUUAUACCAGAGUGUAUAUAGUAGUUCACAGACUUAGAGUAAUGGCUUAAAUCCAAGGGGGAGAUGAUAGAACGAGUAACCAAGUUAAGUUUUCAAAUGCUAAUAGAUGUGCCAGUAAGUUGUGGUAUUGGCCGUGAGAAAGAACGAGGCUCAAUCUAUUCUUAUUUCAGCAGUUUACUUCAGUUAUUCCAACACAUACUCAUUCUUUAGGUUUCAGCUUCAUGAUCAUAGUCUGUGUUCAUGCAUAUGAUAAAGAAUCAUGUACUCUCCUAGUUCCUAGUAUGAUAAGUUCCCAGUUUGUUCAGCAGUCAGAAUUAUUUUCCGUAAGUUAUGAAUUCCAAAAAAAAUUCAGGUCAUGCAGUUCAUGACUCUUGUGCACAUGUGAUCCACUUAACGAUCAGUGAAAAUUCAGAUUUAUAUCAGGUACGCCCUCAGAUUAGAUCUCUUUAAUGAUUCCAUGUCGUGAGUGCUCUUAAAUGAAUUAUGCUUGAGAUGAGGAAUUGUGAAAUACAGGGUGUACUGAAUUCAUGAUUCAAACUAGUACUACAUUGUUAUGUGGUGCAUCCUGUGAUUUUGAGUUAGGCUUGAAGAUGGUGUGUGGAUUUAGUUCAGUUUAGACAUUAGUAGAUGGAAAUAUCAGCGGCCAUGUAAGAAAAAUAAGUGGAAUCAAUAAGCAUGGUGUUUAAGGGGAAAGUAUAGUUGAGAGAGUAUUUUAGAAGUGUGGCUAACCUUGAAAGCAAAGAGUUGCAUUGCCUAAGGUUUGGUAAUUCUAUCCUAGUUUAUGAGUUACAUGUCUAUAUUCCGUGCUAUAGAGUAGUGUCAAUAUUGUGAUUCCAUAGUUCGAUGCCUGGUGUAAUUUGUGCCUAAAUUUAUUGCUCCCUAAUGCUACUGGAAGUUCUUUAGAAAGAGGGUUGACAGAUAAUCUAUGCCAUCCAUGUAAAUUGCUAAUCCAGUUUAGUCCAAGCAUCAUGUUUCAGAUUCAGCUAUUUAGUCAUGACUUAGUUCAUAAGAGUUCAGCACAUAAUCCCAAAUUUUUCCAAGUAUUUUAGCUCAGACAGUGUAAUACCCUGAUCCGAUCUAAAUCCAGUUUUCUCAUGAUUCAUACUUGCAUAAGUUAUCACUCCUCAAUUCAAUAUGUAUGAUUAGAUCAUGAACACUCCAAGGAAAUCCUAAACUCUCAGCAUGAAUCAACUCCUUGAAGCAAGUAAAGUCAAGUCAACUAAGAAUUUAGUUUCAUGAUAGAAGUUUAAAUAUUUCAGAAUCAGUUAUAUCCUUUCUUAGAAGAAACAUCAUGUCUGCCUUAUUCCAUACCUUUAAGCUUCAACAUUCCUACCCAUCAUUCGGGUACGAAUGAUCCCAAGGGGGAGAUAAUGUAACACCCCGCAUUUUGGGCUAGAAUGAAAAUUUUCAUUCCUUCACGUAGAUAUUCCAAAAGCCAUAAAUUCGAUGUACAUAUAGUAUUUUAAUUAAUUAUAUAGUGUAUGAAUUUAGUUGAGUAUAAGUCGAGAUAAUAGAGGUCCCUUAACUCAAGGACCGGUUGAAAGCUUUCCUAUUGUUCGAGUUUUAGUGAGCGUUGAAACUUGGUUCAACUUCUAUCGGCCAUAACUCCUUGUAUAUGACUAACUAGAUGGCCUACUAUAUAUCAAAUGAAAGUUCUUUGAGUCUUCUUUCCAACUCCACCAAUUUUGCCAAAAUUCGAUAUCGGGAAAAAAAUUUAUGCCUAUUUUACUCCAGUAUAUCAGCCUGGCAACUGAGUGACGAUAAUUCUGACGGCUUGUCACAAAUCUGACGACUUGUCAGAAUAUGUCAUCAGCCUUAGGCAGAAAUCCAUCAAUUUCAGCUCUCAGGUAACGACAAAAGUUGAUGGCUUGUCACAGAUCUGACGGCUUGUCAGCCUUGGUCAUCAGCUGAGAAUUUCAGCAACUAGGAAGUGAUUUCGUAGGGGUAUUUUGGUCUUUCCCUCACUCUAAAAACCUUUCACAUGAAUUAAAUCACACCUUAUGUGUUAUUAAUCAAUCAUUAUCAGUUUACAACAUCAAAAACUUCCUCUUCACUCUCAAAAUAAGAUCAAAUUAGGGUUUUCUCCAAGAACCAGAAAUUCAAGAAAAUCAAGCCUUAAGUUCAACAUCUCCAAAAAAACAAAUCAAGAUCCGAGUUUCACCUAUCAAGAUCUAGGUUUCAUCUUUCAGAUCUUAUAAUUUAAGGUACGUGGGGUUUAUCCUAAAAACUACAUGGGCCUGGAAACACUAGAACAUGAUUUAAAGAUUUUCAAGCAUGAUUUUAGAAAAGGGGUUUUGAAAUACAUGAUUUUAUUAUGCAUUAUAAAUGUUUAAAUGCAUUGUUGAUUUGGCCCUUAGUCCUUUCCCCCUAAGUUGAUUUACAUGUAUACGUAUAUGUAUAAAAUUUGAGGUUUAAGAUUUUUUGAGAGCAUAAAUUAUGGACUCCCUCUCUUGUGAUAAAUUAAAGAUUUUGGUUUUGUUGGAAAAGAGUUGAAAUGCAUGUCUGUGAUUUGAAAGAUGUUUUCUCAAUGUCAUAGUAUUUGAAACAUUGAUUUAGAAUUAUUGAGAUGGUGUCUUGAGAUAACUAUGUUUUGUGUUAUAGAGAAGAAUUGCAUGAGAUAGAGACUUUGGACAUGACUACCAUUGUUUGUUAAAUUGUUUAUCAUAAAGAGAAUUACUUGCAUGAUUUUACAUGAAUUUUAAAGCAUGAGUUCCUUGAACAAAUUGUUGUUAUGGUGGUCCUGAAUUUCAUGAUUUGAAAACAGAGAUAUAAAUUGUUAUAAAUGGCUCAGAGAAUGUGACUUACAAGUUAAUGGUAUGACGAUACCAUAUAUGUGUAUAUGCCAUGACAGAGUUAAAGAUUUCAGAGUAUGUUUUUAGAGCAUGCAUAUUUAAAGAACUAAAAAUGGGCAUAAAGAGGGUUAGGUGAUUACCCGAAUAAGGCAUGAGUUCAAGUAACUCUUAGCCUGAAAUCAUAUUUGCCGAUACGGGUAGAUUAUUAUUGUAUGCUGGCGACGGCCAUAUGGCGUAGUAGAUUCAGAGACUCCGACCCUUGCGGUACACUUGGGUUGGGGGCUUGGCUGCCGAGUUAAUGGCAGAUUCCAUAUAGCCCAUGGGAUUACAAAUUGUAGGGUACACCACCUAGAGCAGAAGUAAGACAAAGAGUGUCACAGAUUUUAGAUGUUUUCACAAAGUCUUUUAAAAUGCCCAUGUGAUUUCUUACUAUAUGAUAUGUUUAUGAACUGCUUUAAAUUGCUCUCAUAUAUGUUGAAUAUAAAUGAUUAUUUUGGAUUUGCUAUGCGUACCAAUACAUCUGUAUUGACCUCCCUCCCCUACCUCUUAGGUUCUGAGUCUUAGUCUAAGGAUUCAAAUAAGUAGUAGAUAAUUCAGACAGCAGAUCAGAUUAUGCAGUGGUGAGCCUUCUCUAUUCUAGAAGGCCUGUCCUUUUAGAUUAUGUCUUCUAUUACAUUUUUGGUGUACUGGGGGCCUUGUCCCAGUUUUCGGAUAAUUGUCAGAUUUUCAUGUAGUAGAGAUUUCGCAAACUAUUCCAGAUGUUAUUAGUGAUUUUCAAAUUUCAUUCCUUAUUGUUAAACUUAAUCCAGAGUAUGACCAUGUUUCCGUAUUAGAUCGUAAUUCCGCACUUUCUUUUAUUAUAUAAAUGUUGUUCAUGACUACCAGAUAGAGUAGGACGUCCGGGACUUCAUGGUUCAGGAUGUCUGUCAUGGCUAGGCCCUAGUUCGGGUCGUGACAUCCACCCUCUCUCGACACCUAUCUGGGCACCACAUGCGUAAGAGUUCUUCUAAAUGCAAAAUUUUCUUUUGCAUGUUAAGACUACAUUGUGACGAAAAUGUGAUAGUGAUAGGAAUUGAUUGUUCUCGCAGUAUAGAGCUAAUUUCUGAACUAUAUAUAGUCAAGUUUUUAGGAGAAAAAAAAGUGUAAAGGAGGUUUAUGAUUUUUUUAUUAGUGGAGAUUUCGUGCGGUCAGAAAUUAAUACAGACACAAAGGACUUUGUAUAUCCCUCAAGCUCUUCCACCAUACAAUCCUUAUAGAGGCUAUCAUGUUGCUCAUAUGUCAAUGGAGGUACCUUUUCCUGUAACAGCACCAAGCAGUUAUAGACCAGUCCAGGUGAUUGCAUGUUUAUCUCUGCCAUGUCAUUUGUGUUAGAACAAAGGACUAAGGGUUGAUAUAUUUUUUGACGUGCCUUAUCUUUGUGUUUAUUUUUAGGUUGUCUUAAUUCUUUUUUUGGUCUGGGUUUACUAUGGCUUAUUUUUUUAUGUCUAAAGCAUUAAUUUUAUUGUUAAACUGGUUUUAUCUGACUUUCUUCAGUAUAAUAGUGUUGUAUUAUGCUGAUCAUUUGGAGACUACUACUGCUAAUAUUAUUGAGACAAGGUUAUGCUUUUAUAGCUGGUGGAUGUAGCAUUUAUGCAGUAUAUGCUUGUUCUGAAGAUUACUGCACCUUGUAUGGUGUAGUUUGGGUUUUACUUUGUCAGUUGGUGCAACUAUUUUUGUCAAGAACUAAGCAAUAAAAUUGCGACACCUAUUAAUUAUCGCUCUCACGAUCUCUUGAUGACUAUUUGGAUGCCUAUUUAAAUAUUGAAUUUGUGAACUAGAACUUGAAGUUCUUAAAUUCAGCUUUAUCUUUCAGGACCGCAAUAUAGAUUGUUUGUUGCUAUUUUUAUACUCAGAGAUACUUGCAGUUAAUUUCCUCCAACUUCUCCUGCACUUAUGAUGCAUAUUUGUCAACUUAUCCAUAUUCAUAGGAGGUACUCUUAGAGUAACCCGUGUCUCUUUUUGGUAGUCCUUUCAUAAAUGAUUAUCUCUUCAUUUACGAAAGACAUGUGCAGUUCAUAUUUGAUCUUUAAGUAACUUGGCCUCAUCUCUAUAUGAUUUUUUAGUAAUUAUAGCAACUAGCAUUCAACUUUAUAAUGACAGACUAUAUCAUAGAAGUUAUACAAAUUGGAGAUAACCUCAAUACUAUCAAAUGAAAUUCUUGGCUAGAGAAAUAUUCUGUAACAUGGACGCCUAACUGGAGAUUGCCGCAAAUAGCUUAAUGCUUCAACUGUGGAUUAGAUUUCAUAUAUAAUUUAAAUUGUUGGCAGACAGGAUGUACAUGAAACUGCAUUUUGAUUCUGCUUAUUCAACAUGGAAGAUUAGUUUAUCAUCCUCAGGAGAUUCACUUUGGAGUGAAGGACUUCAUUGAUAUGAAUGAGCUUUAGCAUAGUCAAAUGUAAUAGGAGUAAUUCUUUUCUUUUUUAUGAUAACUCUUUUCUUUUUAUUUUUCAAUUCAAUGUAAUAAAGAAGAACACAAACUGAUAUAAACCUUGAAUUGAGUACAAGAAGUGGGCUUGCACUAUUGCUAAAUUAAGCUAUAGUUCUUGAAAAUUUGAUCUGGAGAAUUAUGAAAGAUAUCUCGCCUCACUUCAAGUUAUCAUACCGGUUGGACUAUAACUGAACAUUUUAACAACACUAUGACUUCGAUCAUUCUUUAGUUCAAAGCAUCAUUCAAUUUGUACAUAUUCUUAGGUAUUUGUAUUUGUUUAGAAAGAAUAAAAUCUUGAAUUAUGAUACUUUUAGAUCUAUGUUUGAUAUUGAUAGUCGAUCGUAUCUAAAGUAAACAAUUAGUGUUAUUUAAUGAUGUUGGGCCAUGCUCACAUGGGCAAAUCAUAUCUAGUUAAUUACUAAAACUCAAGUUUCAUUUAUUGAUGUGUUUAAUUAAUUUGUAGGUGUCAGGAUCCAAAUUACAUAAUCUUAUGGACACUCAUUUUAUUUUAACUAAAACUAGAUAGGAGAAUUCUUACUACCCAAUUAAUUAUUAUGUGAAAAUCUAUUAACAACCUCAAUAUAGUUGAGCAGUUCUAAGUGUAUUAAAUCGACAAAAUCAUAAAGUGAAAAUCCUAACAUGCAUUUUUAUGCAUAUUUGACAACAUACAACAUUAUCCAAGAUCUAGUUUAGACAUAUACAAGAGCUUCUACAAGAGACAACAUCAUAAAAGACACAAUUUUUGCCUGAAGGAGAGAUGCAAAGUUAAUGAUGAAUACGCACCAUCCACAUAAGAAAUUGUUAGUCAACCUGCAACACAACCUACUAUUCAAGAAGAAUAUACCAAGAGUAGUAUCAGUACACAACACAUACUGACGGACUUCAUCGAUUGACCAGGUUAGAAUUAUGUAACAACAUAAAGAAAUUAAGAAAAAUAAUCAUGACAACUUAAACUAGAGUAACAAUCAUUAUUCAACAACCAAUCAUUUAUUUUAGACUACUUUUGAUUAUCCUUGUUGUCAAAUUAUCCAAUUAGUUAUUUUAAACCAUCAUUAAGAUCAUUAAAGUACUUUUCCUCAGCUAUUACACCUGCAGUCGUACUUCAUAAGAAAUUCAAUCCCUAGCCCAUACGAUAUCAUCCUUUUCCAUAGAUCCAAUUGACAAUUUCACCAACCUCGUCAUUUACUACGUACACCCUCCUAUUUAUGCACACAUAUAUGAGGCAAUUAUAAGCAACUUAUACUCAACCCGUAACACAUAAUCUCAUUCAAUGUCUAUUAGCCACGAUGUACCAUGUGAGAUCAAUCGAUACCUCAAGUAAAUCACAACCACAAGUACAACAUAAAUUAAAAAGGAAAACCAUACCCAUCCACACAUACAAGUGUGAAAUCAACAUCUAAUCAUCAAUAUUGUCAACCAUCUCACAAGAACACCUAAAGUUUUGUAUUAUUAAAUUGCAUAUCAUAUAUUCCUUUUAUAAGUAAAUUCUUGCGAUUACAUGCUAAGUAUUAUAAAUGUUCACAUUAAAUACAGACAACUUUAUAAAGAUUCACUUAGUCCAAUAAAUUAAUGAUGAUAGUAAUUAGUUAUUUUUAAUUAUUGUCAUCUUUCAUGGUAAGAAUAAUGUUUUUGUAUUGAGCACACUUCUUUUUCAUUUAAAUUUAUGAUAUUCUUUUUUUCUGAAAAAUUUGAACUUAUGAGGCAAAUUUUAAAUUUUAUAAAAAAGUGAAAGCACAAUCUUGAAAAUGAAAUCUUAAUCUUUUAUGUGAUUUGAGAUUUGAAAUUAAAAUUCAAGUUAAAACUGAAAUUUUAUUUGAAUAUCAUAAUUGAACAUAAUUUAAAUCACAAUUUACAAUUUGACUUCCUCAUGUAAUGACAAUACUCUCUAUGGAAACCUUCAUAAAUUACCUUUACUAGUACUUUUUCUUCUUGUCCGAGGAUAUUAUUGAAUUAGCUCAUGUAAUAAAUUUAACUAUCAAACAAAUUAUAUAUGUAAUUAAUUAUAUCAUCCUAUAACAUUUCUGUAUACGUCUUGAUUAUUUUUUUUUUUCAAAAGGAUCAGACACACGGGAAUAGAAUUUCUAGUUUUAAACCUAUUUUCAUAUAAUAGGAGAUUGAAAGAUAAAUUUAACAAAACCUUGUUGAUGCUUUUUGAAUUGUUGGUUCGAGCAUUAAAUAAACUCAAAAUAUUGAUAAUUGAAUUAAUAGGUUCAUAUAUGAAAUUAUAAAGCUUCUUAGAAAUUAUUACAUCAAUAGCCUAACAGACAAAUAACAUUAAAUUAAUAUAAUUAACAAAUAUAUAUUUAAAAAAAAAAAGAUAGACAUCUAACACUUGCUCAGGGUCAUGAUUUUGAGCCUUGAUUUUAGAAAAAAUCUUGAUAAAUAAUAUUACCUCGAAUGAAUUUAUCCAAUAUAAAUUUAAAUUAAUCAAAUUGAAAUACAAAUAGGGGCUCUAAAAAAUUUCUGACUAACAACAUUUUUCCAUUUGGUUAAACCUAGAUUUAUACAUGUUCUACCUUGAGCUUUAGCUCUGACAAUAUUCUAAAUUCGCAUUCAUACUUUCCCAACUCGGAAAUUUUUAAAUUGGUUUAAGAGCACUUCCAAAUAUGGAAAACAAAAAAAGAAAGAAAAUCAAUGCAUAUAUGACAUCACAAAGUAGAUAGGUUUCGUGGAUAUUUGAAUUGACUUAUUUUUAGGUGUUUUUGUCUUUUAAAUAUUUUUUUUAGUUUUAGUGGUGUUUGGAAAAGUUAAAAAGUGCUUUUAAGCAAUUAUUUUUAGGUUAUAAAGUGUCAAAAUAAGCCAAAAGCCAAAAAAUAGAAUAUUACCAACUUAUGGCUUUUGACUUUUAGCUUAUAAACUACUUUUUAAAAGUCAAUCCAAACACCCCCUUAGUCCCUUGAAUUUAUUACUCCAUACGUUUAAGAGAAUUGAUUUAUUUUCUUUUUAGUUUUUUUUAACAAUGUUUUUACUUUAUGUUUACGUGACAUGUUUAAAAUCACAAGAUUAAAGAGUAUUUUGAUACACUUGAUAUAACUUUAAUUUAAAGUAACAAGAUUCAAAAAUUACUUUAUUUUUUAACUCCGUGCGAAGUCAAAAUAAAUCAUUCUUUUUUAAAACGAAAGAAAUAAUACAUAUUAUAUUUAUGCACUAGUUAAAUUAUAUUUAAUUGACCUUCUCAACUCUUAAUAAUGUGUUUCAAUGAGAUAUUUGUUGAUUUAACUUUAAAAAAAUUGUACUGGUAAUUUUAUUCGUUUAUUAAAUAAUUAAACUAACCAUAUAAAAUAUGUCAUUUUUUAAAAUUAUAUGCAUCAACUUUAAAUUAAAAAAUCUAAGAUUUAUAAAUUAUUAAGAAAAAUACAUAAAAAUAAUUUAUACUAUAUUUUAUAUAAUUAAUUUAAAUACCUAAUAUAUAUAAAUUAAAAUACACACAAAUUUUAUUUUUAAAAUUUAAAUUAAAAAUAUCUAAUUGAAGUACUCCACUAAAAAUAGAAGUCUUGAAUUUAAGUCUAAAUGACUAAAUGAGACAUCUUCAUAAAUUAGGGUUCACUAUGUAUUAAAUAAAAGACUUAAGUCAUCGACAGACACUUAAACUUGUCCCGAAAAUUUACUUAGACCCUUCAACUAAGACCUGUACCUAUCAGGCCCCUAACCCAUCUAAAUUUUGAUCCAAUCAGGCCUUUUUUGCCUACAUGGCACACUGCGUGCUGUGUACUCGCGGAAGGCACGUGAAAAGUAUUUUUUUUAACUAAAUAAUGAAUAAAAAGGUGUCAAGUGCACUGAGGGCCCCCAAAAAUUAUUAUAAAACAAAAUUAAAAAAAAAAUCCUCAACCAUAUUAUCCCCCCCCCCAACCAUACACAUACCCUCAUCCGAUGCCCCUCUUUAUCUUCUUCUCCCACUCUUCUUUCUCAUUUUUUUCUUAAACUUAAAUUUGUUCAUCUGAUACUUUUGUGAUUAGUUGAAAAAUCCAAAGUAAAUUUGAGGAGUAAUAUAUUUGCUACUUUGGUCUAGAGGCUCCAUGGAUAGGUUAUGUAAAGCUGAAAUAAUGGGAAUGUACAUGACAUAUAUGGAAGAAUUAUUAAUUGAUUUUGAUUUUAAUAUUUAUAUGAAAUUAUCCAUGUAUGAUUUUGAAUAUGAAAAUGCUCUACAAUUUGAUUUGGAAACCAAUAUGAUUCUUAAAAGGUUUCCGCCGUUAAUAUGACUUCAGGCAUAUGGUGGUGCAUCAUAUAUAUGUAUCAAAAAAUGGAACUUAACAUUUUUGAAGUGAAAACUAUGGGUCGGGGGUUGUGCGUGAAGACGACGGGGGAGGGGAUGAUGACGAUGACUGGGUGGGUGGGUGUGAAGACGCCGAAGAGGGUGUGAAGAAGACGACUGGGUGGGGGGUGGAUUGGUUUUAUUCUUUUUUAAUUAAAAAUUAUUAUUAAAUAGAUAUUUAAAUAAAAAAAAAAGGACAAAUUAGCAACUCCAUCAUAUAAUUAUUUUUUUGCCACGGGUUUUUUUAAUUGAUUAUUUUUGUCACGUCACGCGAGUGUGUUACACACACUCUAUACCUUUUGCUGAUUAGGCAAAAAAGACCUGAUUGGAUUAAAAUUUUGGUCUGAUAGGUACAGGCCUUAAUUGAGGGGUCUAAGUAAAUUUUUUGGACAACUUUAAGUAUUUAUCAAUGACUUAAGCCUAAAUAAAACAUAUACAUUAGUCACAGAUACAUCACUUUUGUCAUAUAAUUGAGGUGUGAGUUGAGUUGUGUCUAGGGUUCCCCAUUUUAGCUCUGCAAAUUCAAUGCAAUCGAUCACAAUAAUAUUUGCUCUUUAGACCACUGAGAGGUACACUUUAUUUAUUUCAAUUUUCUCUUUUUAUUUUCAGAAUUUUACAAGUGUGUCUCUUUGAUUUUAGGUUUUGGAGUUGAAGAAGAGGAAAAAAGGUGUUGUGCUGUGGUGGGCGAUUGAUUUAUUGUUGCAAAUGCCAAAAGAAGAUUUGGUUGAAGUUAAGUUCCGUUUGUUCGAUGGAUCAGAUGUUGGUCCCUUUUGAUUUUUCACCGACUUUCACCGUUGCUAUGCUUAAAGACAGAAUUAUUUUUGAAUGGCCCAAAGGUUUGUUCUAUUACUUUUUUCAUAGUUGAGGUAUUUUUUUCCUAAAAAUUUAUUAAUUGUUACAUGAUAAUAGGUAUCCCGUGAAAUUAGUUGAGGUGCGCAAAUAAGUUUCUUAGUUGUUUCUGGAAACUGAAAAAACAGGGUCGAAUAAAGAAAGCUAGAAUGCCUAUAUAUCUAGUGAUACACAUCAUCGUAAGAAUCAGUAUUUAGUGUCUUCUCCGCGUACAACUCAAAUAACUGUUCAAAAGAAUCUAUUUUGUUUGCAAUUUUUGCAAUUUUAGUAGUUGUUUUUGGUGAUUUUAGGCAAUUAAGUAAGGGAAGUUUUUGUUUGAGAUUUUGAUUUAUAAGGCUAAAAUGAAAAUGGCCUAAAGUUCACAUCAAAACUACGCGUCGUGUGCCUGUGAAAUUUUCAUCCUGGCCAUAUUUGGUAACUCCAUCCUCCCUCUUUCUCAUAUAGGAGAUACUAAAUUUCAGAUAUGAAAAUUAAGUGUUUGUUAUUCAAGUUUUGUGGAAUUGGUUAUUUUUGUGAGAUUUAAAAGCUUUAACACUGAUUUUGUGAAGGUUGGAUGAAAAAAAGUUACGGAAUCUACCAUUGUUGGGCAUUGAGAAUCGCUAGAUAGUGAUGAGUUACACUGAAUCGAGUAUGUAAUAAAUAGGAUUGGCUAGCUAACAAAAUUAGGUAUGUUUUACUUAUAAUUGUAGACUUGAUUUAGACUCUAUGCCUAUUUGUAAGUUGAAUAUUUGUGAAUUGCUUAAAACAUACUUGUAAUUGGUAAGCUUGGUUGAUAUUAUUCUCUUUAACUCUCUUUUUUUUUUCUAAAAUAAAGCUACAGUGUUGUUAGGGCAUUCUUCAUGUUCUCAAAUAUAAUAGAACUGUAGAAAAAGAAAAUUAAAUGAAUUAAGCAUACAUAUUAUGUGAAACCCAAAAAAAUUUAAAAAAAAAAAACUAAUUCAUAAGUAACGAUGGUCGGCAGAUGUAUACAAUUGCCUAAAAGGACUUCCACGUAAAACUUUUUAAUUGAAGACAAAUCUAUGUGACACACCUCUCGAAUACGAGCAACCCUUUAUACACACAAAUUGGAGAUUGCAUGUUUUGUUGGUUUAUGACUUUAGUGUAUGUUGAGAGCAUGUCAAAUUGCCCCUCCUCUUCUUCAGAAGGAGUGAUAUGGACUGCGUAUAAUUACCCUCCUCAGACCCCAUUAUGUAAAAAUAUACUGGGUAUGUUGUUGUUGUUGUUGUUGGGAGCAUGUUAAAUGAGGUAAAUGAUUAAUGCAUGACUAUUUGACUGGCUUGGUAGCUAUAAUACAUGAUUUUUAAGUGUAUUUAAAGUGUUAAGUCAAUUAGAAGACUUUAUAUCGAUUUAUGACUUGGUUUUUUCUGUAUUCCGGAUAUUUAUUUAUAUUUUCAUAUUAGUAAAUAGAAAAAAAAAAGACACGGGGGUGACAGUUUUCUGAAUAUAGUUGAGCUAUUAAAGUUGAUGUUAACAGAUGAACUAGACUGUUUUUGGCUAUGACUAAACUGUGUUUUGCUUCAUCUCCAGCUUACUAUUCUAAUCUAUUCAUACUAUUUGAGCCAAUGUCAAUGAUUCUCUGUACACGUACAACCAAAUAAGCUUGGUGACUAAGGGUUAAUAUUCCAUGCUUGAAGUUACUUGUGUUUGCUCUAUUAUUGCCUUACACUUUAUUUAUUCACUUUGUUGAAAUUAUCACUAUCAUGAUUUUAGUUGUGUUUUUCUUCAUCUCUUGUCAAACCGCCACCAAGCGAAUGUCUUUUCGAUCAAUAUUUUUUCAACAUCUGUGCAGGUAAUUUUAAGUAUUUUCUCAACCAUGGCAACGCUAUGAAUGCAUAACUGCCAAGAACAAUGAUACAGUAACUAACUGUGUUACUGUUUUCAUUUUUUGGACAAAACUAACUUUUAUCACUAUGUAAAUGUGUUAAUAUAUAGACGGUGUAAUCAUGUAUGUAUAUAUCACCAACUUAAACAAUAUCGGGUAUACAAUACUUUCUUCUCUUGCAUUGAGAUUAUGCAUUGACAAUAUUAAUUCUACAUUCAAAAGUUUUGCACAGAUGCAUAUAGGUAAAUGUUGGGCCCGUGCUCGCACGGCCAACCGUCAUCUAGUCCCUAAAAGAAAAACCAAUUUAUUUAAGUAUGAAACACAGAAAAGGUUUUUAAGGACUACUAGCGUGUACUUGUGUUACGCCUGGGAGAAUCUCAAAAAUAGACCCAAAUUAGGGUGGCUUUCAAAUUUUAGCCCCAAAUAAAAAGACUUUAUUAAAAUAACUUUUACUUAUUAACUCAUACUUUUUUGGACGAAAAUACCCCUCCAAUAUAUUAGCCUUUAUUUCUUCCAAAACAAAACACUCUAACUUUCUUUCAAAACAAAACAUCAUCGCUCUUUCUUUCAAUCAAAUAAAUUCGCACGAUCAUCAUUCUUUCUUCCUAUCAAAUAAAUUCGCAGCCGUAAGAUUUUUUCAGGUAAGAACUUCAUCAUCAUAAUUCUCUAAUUCUUUGGGGGUAAUUGGGUGAAUUUUAGCUCUGUGUAAACAUCUAAUUUGCAGUAAAUUUAAGCUUAUUGAUGCAUUGCGAAAAAUUUUAGCUCGUUAUAUAAUUAGCAUAUUAAUUUGAUUUUUUGAGAGGUGAACGUAAGCUGGAGUUGGGCUAUUCUAUUGUUGUAGUAACAUAUUUUCUAUUGAGGAAUUGUGUUGAACAAGUUGUGUGAAGUUUAUUACCACGGUUAUAAUUGUGUUUGAGUAGUUGUGGAGGGUUAGUCUUGGAGAAAAAGGUUUUAAGCAUGUGACUGUAAGCAUAAAUAUAUUAUUUAUAAAUUUGGACCACCACUUAUCAAGAAUUUUCUAUUUGGUUAGACAUUCAUUUGAUUAUUAUUGAUUAAUGGUGUCAAUUAUAUGUAGGUGGUCAUUGGCAAUGAACUUGUAGGAGAUUUAGUUAGUUAUUGAUAUCGAUGGAUAAGAGGAAUUGAUUGUGGAAAAAGAGACCUUCUAAGAAGAGCAUUGGUGAAACUGAGAGUUUUAGUUCACUCUCUUCACAUUCAGAAUGACACUCUGAUGAAUAGGUACAAGGCAAAAGAAAGAUUUUUUUUUGUUCAUAGGAUGUCCUGAUAAUCUCUUUCUGGCCUUCUAAUUGAUUGUGCUGAUAUAAGGAAGCUAAUACUUUGAUUUGAGUAUUCGUACUCAAAUAUUUAUAUUCAUGUUUAUUUCAAGCUGAAAUGGUCGAGCUAAAUAUUCAGCUCGUGUUUUCAUAGUUAGAAAGUGUUAUAUUACCAAUGGUUAUACUUAUAAAACUUUAGUAUGCUUCAAUGCCUUCUGCAAAUAUUGUAUCUUAGCAACUCUGGUCGUCUUUCAUGUAUUAUAUCUUUAUUUUUCUCCUACCUCUUUCUCACUGAGUUGUGUCUACCAGUUCUUUGGAACUGUAGGAUUCAAGUUUCAGACAUAAAUAUUUGAGAAUCCUUUGUUUUUCAAUGAACUAUUGUCAAGAAUUUGUCAUUUGUCAUUUUAGUAUGCUUGGAAGUUGGAAGCUUCAACUUUAAAUUGAUCCAAAAUAUCAAUGACUUAAUUGUAAAAGUGGAAGUAUGGGAACAACAUUUAGUGUUGGAGCCAGCUAGCUACCUAGUAAAUGGGCACUUGAAUGAUAUUUUGUAUAUUUAGAUUUUGUAGAAUUUAUAUCCACUAAAUUUACUCUCUACUAAAUUUGAUGUGGUAGUGAUAAAUUUAUAGUUUUAAAUAACUUAAACUCUGUAUUCAAAGAUUCUAGUUCUGAUGUCAUGAGUCUUAAAUCCGUAAGCCAAAAGGCUAAUAUAGGUGUGAAAGAAAGUUGAUUAUUUCAGUCCCUUAAUUGUUGAUCAGCCAGAGUAUUAAGAGAAAAGUUAAAUGACUGCUAGUUAGUUUCAUGUGCAUUUUACAUUUUAUUAGCUAAUAUAGUAAUGAAAUUUUAUCCUAAGCAUGAUGUUGUUAUGUGCUUGCCUUUUUUUUUUUUGGAUAAUUCCUUGUUAGUGCUUGUUAACUUCACUAUUCUCACUUCAACACUUGCAAUUUCUGCUAUUUGGAGCAGGAUCCGUUAAAAGAAACUUCAGAAAAUAACAACCAGUCACCAAAAGUAACCUCAAAAGCAGCAAUUAUUGAUAAUGAAGCCAAGAAAAGCCCAAAGAAGUUGAUAGAAAAGUUAUCAGCUGCUCUGAUUAAUAUUACUGCUAAAGAAGACUUAGUUAAGCAGCAUGCUAAAGUGGCAGAAGAAGCUGUUGUAGGUAUCUUCAACCAUGCCUUUCUUAGAGAUAGUCUAGACAAUAACCAUCCUUUUUGUUGUACAUGAAUUAUAACCAUGCCUCAUGGGCAAGACUUUAGAAAAUUGUUGAAAUUGAAAACUUUUGCCCAAGAGUCAACAGUUUAUUAAUUAAUUACAUUGAUUAGAUUAUUAACAUAUAUGCAACUCUUGCCUCAUGGGCAAGACUUAGUUUAGAAAAUUGUGGAAAUUGAAAAAUUUUACCCAAAAGGCAAAAGUUUAUUCUUUAAUUGCACUGAUUAGAUUAUUAACAUAUAUGCAACUCUUGCCUCAUGGGCAAGACUUAGUUUAGAAAAUUGUGGAAAUUGAAAAAUUUUACCCAAAAGGCAAAAGUUUAUUCUUUAAUUGCACUGAUUAGAUUAUUAACAUAUAUGCAACUCUUGCCUCAUUGGCAAGACUUAGUUUAGGAAAUUGUUAAAAUUAAAAACUUUUGCCCAAGAGGCAAAAGUUUAUUCUUUAAUUGCAUUGAUUAGAUUAUUAACAUAUAUGCAACUCUUGCCUCAUGGGCAAGACUUUAGAAGAUUGUUGAAGUUGAAAACUUUUGCCCAAUGGGAAACAAUUUAUUCUUUAAUUGCACUGAUUAGAUUAUUAACAUAUAUGCAACUCUUGCCUCAUGGGCAAAACUUAGUUUAGAAAAUUGUUGAAAUUAAAAACUUUUGCGCAAGAAGCAAAAGUUUAUUCUUUAAUUUCACUGAUUAGAUUAUUAACAUAUAUGCAAUUCUUGCCUCAUGGGCAAGACUUUAGAAAAUUGUUAAAAUUGAAAACUUUUUCCCAAGAGGAAAUAGUUUAUUCUUUAAUUACACUGAUUAGAUUUUUAACAUAUCUAGUAAAUGAGGAAAAAAGAUGAACGAUAUGGGUUCCUAAUGAACAGGAUGUGGGAUCUAAUGUGCAAACUACUGAUCAAGUUAGAAACACCAAUGAACAGACUCCUAAUGAACAAGAUGUGGGCUCUAAUGUGCAAAAUGCUGAUCAAGAUGUAGGUAUUGCUGAGCAAAGGACUGAUCCAGAUGGAAACACUAAUAAACAGUUUCCUAAUAAACAAGAUGUGGACGUUGUUGAGUAAAAUGCUAAUCAAGAUAGAAAUGCUAAUGAACAGAGUCCUAAUGAUCACGAUGUAGGUGUAGCUGAGCAAAGUGCUGAUCCAGAUGGAGACACUGAUGAACAGGUUCCUAAUGAACAAGAUGUGGGUGCUACUGAGAAAAAUGUUGAUCAAUAUGGAGAUGUUAAUGAACAGGUUUCUGAUGAACAAGAUUUAGGAGCUGCUGAGCAAAAUGCUAAUCAACAUGAAGACAUUAAUGAACAGAAUCAUGAUCAAGAUGGAGGCACCCCAAUGAACUGAAUGAAGAUGUAAAUCAACUAGCUGAUUUAAUAGAUAAUAUGAACCAACUAAUGACGAAAAUACAGACAUUGAUAGCCUAUUCAUGCUGAUCAAAAUGCAGAAAGAUAUACACUUUCUGGAUAGACUAAUUAGACUUCAUACUUACAAAAAAUGCUAAUUCCAUAAUUGUGUGGUAUUCUGUUUUGAGAUUGCAGUACUGCCAUUAUCUAUAUGCUGCUUAGUUUGUUUUUAAUUUCUCGAUACAGGUCAUCUGUCAAGCAUUUGAGUAUAAUCGACCAAUUAAAAGUUACUACUGGAUUUCUGAUUUAUUUCCUUAUAUUUUGCAUAACACUUGACAGUAAAUGCUACUGAACUUUAGUAUUGGAAAAUAUGAUGUUUUGCUAUAUGAUGAAGUUAGAUUAGCAGAUACGUUUGAAAAUUGUGGACCUAAUGAUUUUCGAUUUUCACUCUUAUUCCGAAGAUAUAAGGCGGUCUCCCAUAUCUUUUGUAGUGCAAUUAGAGAAUAAACUGCUCAUAUAUAGGACAAGAGAAAGGAUAUUUGAAAAAUGAGGAAAAAAGAUGAAUGAGAAUGAAUAUCUAAGGAAAAUUCUGGGAAAAAAAAGAGAAAUUAAAAAAACUCUAAAUAAAGGUUAAAAACAACUAAAUUAAAAAAAAAAAAAUGAAGAAAUAGAUAAUUGUUGAAAAAAAAAAAAGAGAAAAAAAAAAGAUUGAGACAAAUAAAUUAAAAUAUGAAAAUAAAGUUAAAGAAAAAAAUAAAAAUUAAAAAUAAUAAUAUCAGAAUAAUAAAUUUAAUUAAGAAAAAAAUAAAAAAGUUAAAAAAGUAGAAUUAUAAAAGUAAAGGAAAAAUUAAAAAGUAAAAUUAAUAAAAAAUAAAAUUUGAGAGAUAAAUGAGUAUGGAAAGUUUAAAAAUAUAUUUGAAAUAUAGAGGAGCAAAAUGGUACUUUUAGUAUAUUAAAAGGCGAGGAAUGUUAUUGUUCAAAGACAUUCUUAUUUGGGGUCAAAUAUCUAAACACAUAUUUGAGUUAUGGCAUGCAAUUUCCUGAUUACGUCCACCCUUAAACCCGAUGUCUGUUUAGGGUUUAUGGAAGCUCUUAAAGACAACACCGUAGAAGGCAAUUCUGUAGGUCUCAAGCUGGUGCCAUGGCUAAGCUGGAAUGAAUGGAACUCCAUUCGCCAUUCCCUCUUCUCUGCUUCUCCAGCAUCUGUUGCUUUUGCUCUUCAAAGGGUAACACACACACACCUUUUUAUCUUUUCCUUUCUAAAUUGUUGUCCUGUGGAAACGGCCUCUUGCAAAAUGCAAGGUAAGUUUGGUACAAUACAUUGUGGUCUUUAGUGCACCGGGAUGCCUUUCUUUUUUCAAUAAAAUUAAAUGUUUUUCUUUUGGAUAUUAGAUAUGGACGUGGAGGAGCAGAGGUUGCAUUCCUAUUGCAGUGGAUGUUACUACUGCAAUUAUUGAAAUUCAACAGAAAGAUCCUUUUUUCAGGUGUCUCAUCCUGUAUUGACUUCUUUUUCUUUUCUUUUUUUUUGGAUAAUCCAAGGGGUUUUCAAUUAUUUGUUAAAUUGCUAUGUUGAUAUAUCCUCUAUGUUAAAGUGAACCUUUUUCUUGCUUUCUAUUCUUUUGUAGGAAGGACCUAGGGGGCAAUGCCUUGCAGUCUGAAGAAAUGCUCUCAAUGCUAUAUUGCAUGGCAAUUAUGAGGUACAUUUGUUACUACUUCCUUUUUUUGUUGUUGUCAAUUCUAUUGUAUCGUGUUGUUAGUUUAAACAAAAUAUUUUUUUCUUUAUUACUUAAAUUUUGUUAUAUCAUAUAGCUUAAAUCCAUUGUUAGAUAACAGGGAAAAGUCUCAUUUUGUGUAAUGACCAGUUUUGUGUGAUCACGUUGUUACCUUCUUCUUUUUUCUCAUUUUGUCUUUAUUUUAUUAUUUAAUAUUUCCAUUUUAUUCUCUACCCUACUUAUUUAUAUUAACUCUAUCUCAUACCCUACUUUUCUUGUAGAUUUAUCCUUAGAAUUUUUGAUAUGUGAAAUUGUGUAAGGAUGGAAAAUGAUACAAUUUAUCCAAUCAUUGUAUUCAUUAAAACAAUAUAGUACAAUAGAACACAUCAUAAUAUGAUACAUUGAGACAAUAUGUAACAACCAUCCUAACAAAGAAAUUGUGAUGUUAUUUACACUUCAAUUUCUUUGUAGUUGUAUAAGACAAAGAAAUUUGUUUUUUUCUUAUGAACCAAGAUUGUCUCGAAAAGUAUAUGUACGAGAUUAACCAUAUGGAUCAGCUACAUUCAUCUAUCAAAUUUGCCUAACUGUCAAAUACAACGAGGAGUCUUUUCUUAAUACCAUAAUAACACUAAUGAGAUGUGUUUUUUUAAAAAAGAAAUUUUGAUUAUUAUCGGCAGUAUUUUCAUAGUUAUGAAACUAGUUAGACGGAAGUACCUUCACUUCGCUUAUGCCAUUAUUUACACAGUAAAGAAAGCAAGUGUGGUGGGGAUUUUCUAUUCUUUCAUUCCAUACAGUACUACAGUACAAGAUAUGCACUAUUAGCAAUGUUUUCUACAGCUUCCUUGUUGCUGCUGGUUCUCUAUAAUUCUGAGCACAUGGUGCUUCUCCCAAUGUUCUUGGUGCCGUUAUUUAAUUUAAUAUGAAAACACCAUUGGAUGAAAAUUGAGACUGUUACUUUGUUUGAGAUUUCCUCCUUUAUGCUUCAGUUUAUUCAUUUUCAACAUUUCAUCUUUUCCCUCUUAUUUGUGAGGGUACUAUGAUUUAAAUGGUGGAACUUUAGGAUAGCCGUUGAGUGGAUGAGUUUGUGUUUUCAGCAAGUAAAAUUAGCAUAAUAGGGUAAUUAUUUUCUUCCAGGCUUGUAAAUGGUGUUGUUGAGAAGACCCAAAAGAAGGCAGAAAUCUCAAUAGCCGAGGCAGUAAAUGCUAUUGGCAUUCCACGAAUGUUGGUUGAUGUUCGCCAUGGUGAGUGUUUAUGCGUAUUUGCAACUUUGAUAUGAAAGAUGUUGAUUGUUUGAUGUAAGUCAGCUAUACAUAACUAUUGACCAGAUUAAAUUUCUGUUACUGCUUUUGUGAGGAGUAACCAAGUAAUAUAGCUAUCAGGAUGUUGCUUUAUGUUCUCAAUCUGCUGCAGGCUUAAAGAAACCGAGAAUGUUUUACUAUGUGUUACUUAAUCUUUGCAUCAGUUAGCAAUGCUUGUUUUGCUGCAACUUCUAACUGAAUUCUAAUGUGAAAACAUCUGACUUCUUAACAUUGUUUAAUAUUUCCUUGUAGAGGGUUCUCAUCGUGAUCUUCCUUCACUGCAGUUGGUCCGUGUUGCCUCUACCAAGGUCAGUGUGCUCCUUAGUCUCUAUAAUUUUUUUGCUUAAUGUGAAUAUCUCUUUAAUUUCACUUACUGUUGAAGACUUGAAGCUGUGACUCCUCCUGAAGUUUCAUCCGUUUUUUUAAGAUUAAUGGUUGUAUUCAUAAUGGAUUUCUGCUAUCAAUACUGAGAUGUAUUGUGGUUUACAGCGGUAAAACUAACUGGAAGAGGCACAAAUUUACACUUGCUUAGAAAGAAAGCCUAGAAAUGUCUCUGACAAGCGACAACAUGCAUCUGGUAGAUCUUCUGCUUCAGCAGUAAAUUUUUCUCAUUCUCUAGUUACCAAAAAAUGAUUGAUUUCUGGAAUCUGUAUAUAGAUGUAUCUAUGAUGCGUCCAUCCAAAAAAGAAAAGGAGUUGUAGCUGUGAAGCUUGUGCCAUUCUUGAUGCUCCCUUUUCAGCCUAAGCUAUACUAAAUAAACAGACUUCACAACCCUAGUAGGAAUUGUGUUGCUAAGGAGACCCUCUUUUUUUUUUGAACAUUGUUAAAUUGGUAUUCUUCACCAUGAGGAUGUGCUGGCCACCUUCAGAAAUUACAUCACCUUAAUCAAAAUUAUAGAUUUCCUAUUAGAUCUACAAACUCAUCUCCAUCCACUAUAUAUAGUUGUUUACACCAAAAAAGUAAAGAUGCUAAAAAUUCCAUUUUACUUUUUGAAUGGAAUUGGAUUUAUCUUCAAAACAUCUCCCAUUUCUUUCUAUCCAUAUGGACCACCAUAUGCAUGAUGGAAUCAGCUUCCACCACCUCUUCUGAGUCUUGCUUCCUCCUCUUCUGAUCCAGCAGCUAUAUAAAUCUGUUGUGUGCUCAGGCAUGGACCAAUUGUAACUGUUGAUGUUGAGAAAGAGUUCCGAGAGUUGAGCUGUGUAUACUUGCAAUGCAUAAAUACGUGACUAUUAGUCUCCCCUGUCAGGUUGCAUAGAAAGCAUCUAGGGACUAGUGGACCUUCCUUUCUUCUGGAAGACUUCUUGGAUAAGACAUGCUAGCUCUUUUAAUCACUAGCCAAGUGAAACACUCCACCUUUGUAGGAAUCAAGCCUCUCCAUAUGGUCUUCCAUUUAUAGUUAUUAUUUCCAGGCCCCCCUUGUAUCCCUUGUUUGUGUGAGCUAUUAACUGUGAACUUUCCAUCCUUCUUGUGUUUCCAAAUGAUCUUGUAUGGUACAUUUGUGUUUAGUUUAGUUCCUUCCAAUUUUUCCAGUAGGAAAGCCACCCUAUUUACUUCCCAGUCAUUAAGUAGCCUUCUGAAAUAGAGAUUUCACCCGUGUACAGACCAACAUUCAUUGAUCCUAUUUUCUGGAUUGGUGCUAAUUGAGAAGAGGUCCGGAAAUAACUCACUCAAAGGAUUUUGAUCAAUCCAACCAUCUUUCCAAAACUUGAAUGUCACGACCCGAACCGGGGCCCUGGCCGUGAUGAGCAUUCCGAACCAUGAAGUCCCGAAACACCCCUAUUUGUCUGAUAAUCAUACACAUAACUCAUAUGAUAAAAGAAAUGCGGAAGAUAAACAAUAUUACAGAAACAUGGUCAAGAAUCAUAUGAAAUCAAUAACGGGGAAUAAUGUCCCACAAUCUCAACACAACAUCUCUAUAACGUCUGCGAAAUCUCUACUACAUGACUGAAACAAAUAUCUAUCUGAAAACUGGGACAAGGCCCCCAGUAGACCCAAAACUAAUAAAUUAUAAGUAAAACUGCCAGAUAUCAGGCCUUCCAAAAUAUAGAAGGCCCACCAAGUGACUCUGCAAAUCUGUUUGAGGAAUCUACUGAUUUUCUGGACCUCUAGACUAUGCCUCCGAACUUGGGAGGGAAGGGGGUCAAUACAAAAAUACUGGUACGCAGAGAUAUCAAAACAAAACAUAAUAUUUUUACAAAAUAUAGUUGAGAGCCAUUAUAAAGCAGUUUCAUAUCAAAUCAUUUGAAAACACAUGGGCGUAAUGUAAUUGUUUUCAACAACAAUGUAAUGCAGCUGCGUUAGGUGGAAUACCCUACAUAUAACAUUUACACCAACUAAACCUCGGUUGCCGCCUAGAUUAGAGUAUAAGUGAGAGGAAGACACACAAGAUCACACAGCAAGGUGUCUCGACCCAAUGGUAGUGCAUAAGAUCACAAAGCAGGGCUCCUAACCAUAGUCCCAACUUGGGAAUGACAUAAGGUCAGGUACGCAAGAUCACAAAGCAAGGUAUCAAAUUCCCAUGUCGGCAAACACGGUUUCCAGCGAUGAGCCCUUACACUCAAUCGCCUUCUUCAGGCAUCUACCUAUCUGAUGUAAAAUCAAUGCAUUCAAAUUUUAUCUGAUUCAAUCACAUAUCAUAUUCUGUAGGGUAUUGUCAUACCCGACUUGCAAGCCAUCAAUAUCACAUCAUUCUUCUCAUUCAACCAUUGUAUUCAACAUGUUUCAACACAACAUUUUUCAAUUUUGUUCAAACUCAAUUCAUCUUUUCAAAACUUAAUCAAAUCUUAAAGAAUGAAUUCUGAACGUGUUAAAGUUGUAUUUUUUGUGGAUGGCAAAAUUAUUCACGAGAGAAAAACAAUAUAUUAUAAUAUGUCCCCCAAGUCCAACGCGAAGUAUCUAAUUUUAAUUGGUUACAGAGAAUUUAUAAAAUCAAUUUUUAGAAGAAUGAAAAUAAAAAGUGAUGAUUUUGAUUUAUUUGUAGUCGGCCAGUAUCCAAUUUCCUUCUCAUCACAAAGAGUGGUAAAUUAUGGAGAAUGGAUUAUCAGUGAUGAUGAGUCGUUGACUGAAUUUCUGAGGGCUCGUCCAAAUAGUACGGUAAUCUAAAUUACGAUUCAUUUUAUCGGCAUAUGCAACUGCAUCUCCGUCAGUGCGCAGUCCAAAUAACGCCUCCACGUCCUGAAAAGUGACAAGUGUACAACUCACUUUUUAAGUAAGUUAUUUAUUUUGUUUUUACACAACUCACUUUUUUUUUGAGUUAUAUGUUAAACAUAAAUAAAAGAUCCAAAAAGGUUUUAUGUUUAAAGUGAGUUAUGUACAUAACUCACUUUUUUUGUGAAUUAUGUUGAAACAAAAUGAAUAAGUCAUAUUUUUUGUGAGUUAUGCAUACUCACAAAAAAGUGAGUUAACCAUAUUUAUGUACCAUUUUAAAUAUAUGACAUAUUUUGAUACUUUUUUUUAAAGAUGGUCUAUUUUUUAUUUCAGAUUCGCAUUUGCACCUCAUACUUUAGAAAAUUGUUCAUUUUUACCCUUCCUUUUACUUUUUGAUCGUGCUACCUCAUUUUAUACUUUUAAGGAUCGUUUGUUGGAAAAAAGUUAUCCGGAAUAAAUUAUCCAGAAUAGGUAUAUGAGAUAAUUUAUUUUAUUACUAUGAUGCAAAUUAUGAAAUAAAUAAUGUUGAGGCUAUUUAUACCUCCAGGCAAACAUAAGAUAAAAUAAUUUUAUAUUUAUUCCAAAAUUAUUAUAUCAUAUAUCUUACAUCAAACGACUCUUUAUACUAGUAACUAUAUUUUGUUCAGAUGUACCAUUUGCUCUACCAAAGAUAAGGAUAUAUAAAGGUUUCUCGUCCAUAAGGCCACUUAGGCAAUUGGUUAGGCUCCAAAAUUAUGGAGCCCCAAAUCUUCAAGAAAAAAUAAUUUAUAUAUAUAUAUAUGUAUGUAUGUAUGUAUGUAUGUAUGUAUGUAUGUAUGUAUGUAUGUAUGUAUGUAUGUAUGUAUGUAUGUAUGUAUAUAUUUGAAAUCUCUUAUCAAAAUAAAAAGAAAAAUAACUCAUAGUUUUUUUUUUUAGGAGGGGGAGGGGGGUGGGGGGAAUCUAAAUAGAAUUCUACAUAGAAUUUUCUUUAUCAUAAAAAUAAUAAUUCAUUAUUACUAUGAUAUUGUGGCCGUUUGGGGCAUUGAAAAUAAAAGAAUUAAUUGAGAAAAAGUCAAAUUGUCAUAUUUUGGGAUCAUAUAUCAAUAAUAUGGCUACUAUAUUUAUUCUUUUAGCUUUUCCUUGAUGCUCAUUAUUUACCAAAAAAAAAAAAAGCGACGUUCUGGUAUUAGUGUGUUUCUUUGUUUUUCUUUGAUAUUUUAUUCUUUAAUCCUCAUUCUUAAUUAGCUCGAAAUCAAUUGACCAAAUACUAUUUUAAGAGGAAAAAAGAAUCAAAAUAUACUAUACAAGAUAUACUUAAAAAAAGAAAAUCUAAGGAUCGUAAAUUUUGAAAGAGCCAAAGUUAUUUUACAAUCAAGUAAUUCAUAUCUUGAAUUGGGUUAUAUUUCUCUAUUUUUUAUUAGUUUUUCAUACAUCUUUUAUAUUAAUAAUUCAUACGUGGAGAGUGUUUUUAUUAAUUCUUUUAAAAUUUAGUUCUGUCAAAUAAAAAAUAUGAAUUUGGUUAUUCAAAACUUUUAUAAAAAAAGAAAAGAAAAAUUGAAACAUUAAUACAAUCACACAAAAAAGGCUCUUGAUAAAUUCUAGUGAACAAUGAAAAUAUCGAAUUGAAAAUUUGAAAGAAUGUUCAUUAUAUGAACAACAUAGUAAGUUAGUUGAGAUAAAUGAUAAUUGUAAUAACAACAAUAAUAGUAACAAUAACAAAAUUCAAGAAGAAUAAGAAGUUAGUGACAAAAUGAACAUCGAUCCCUAACUUUUAAACAAAUAUAAUUUUUGUCUUAGGCCUUUGAAAUGGUUGAGAUGCCCCUGAUUAUAUAGAUAAAGUAUAAAGUAAAUUUGAUCACUCUUUCAAAGUAUAAAGAUAAUUUUUUUUUCAACUACAAGAAUAGAUGAGGGGGUCAAAGAUUUCAUGUUGGGAGACCUGGAACACUCAGAGAGGUGCCAGGAUUACGACUAUUGUAGGCGUAUCAAUGUUGAGGAGGUCAAGGGUUCUAUUCGCAAGAUGCGGAAGGGUCAGGCGAUCGAUCCAAAUGAGAUUUCGAUGGAUUUUUAGGAGAGCCCUAAUGGAGCAGGUGUGAAGUGGUUGAUAAGGUUAUUUAAUAUCAUUCAAGGCGACGAAGAUGCCCGAAACUUGGAGAUGGAGUAAGAUGACUCUAUUGUAUAAGAACAAGGAAAAUAUUCUGAGUUGCAAUAACUAUAGGGGGGUCAAGUUGUUGAGUCAUACUAUAAAAGUUUGAAAAGGGUGGUAGAGUUGAGGUUGAGGGUGAUCGUGAAUAUUUUCGAGAAUCAGUUCGAUUUUAUGCCAGGUCGCUUAACUACUGAGACAUUUACCUCGUGAGGAGGUUAAUGAAGCAGUUUAGGGAGAGGAGGAUGGACUUGCACGUGAUGUUCAUCAAUCCCAAGAAGUCGUACGUUAAAGUCCCCAGGGAGAUUCUGUGAAGAUGCUUGGAAGCUAGAGAUAUGCCCUUGGCAUAUAGUAGGUUGAUUCAGAACAUGUACGAAGGAGAAAAAACUUGUGUAAAGAUGGUAAGAGGAUAUUCAAAGUACUUUUCUAUUUUGACAGGGUCACACUAGGGAUCGUCUCUUAGCUCAUUUUUAUUUGUCUUGGUGAUGGAUAUUUUGAUGCGGUGUAUUCAAGGUGAGGUGUUUGUAUGUUAUUUGUUGACGACGUUGUACUAAUUGAUGAGAGCCAGAGAGGAUUUAAUGAUAAACUGGAGGUUUGGCGACAAACCCUAGAGUCUAAAGGGUUUAGGUUAAGUAAGACUAAGACAAUAUACUUGGAAUGUAAGUUCAGUAGUCCGACGCAUAAGGCUGACGUGGUAGUGGAGCUGAUUUCUCAGGACAUUCAAAAGAGGGAUAGUUCUAAGUAUCUUACCGAUAUGAUUUAGGAAAAUAAAGAGAUUGACAAGGACGUCACGCACCAUAAUUUUUGCCCUCCACAACUAAGUUUAAUUUCGAGUUUCUUUGAUGUUAAAUAAAAUUACAACAUUUAUUUUAUCCAAAUAAAAGAACUUUUCAAGGUGUUUAUCGGGGUGAUUUUUCCAUUUAAGUAACAAUUAUAUAUUUUGUAUUCACAUAUACGGAAUCAUAUAAUCUUAUUAUUUAAAUAAUUAUUUUACAAAAAAUUGAAGUUCAAUCAAGGGUUCUCUUAAAAAUUGAUUCAAAUGGUUAAAAUCUUGAUUUGAAUAUAUUAUUCUCAAAAAAUAAUUUAUUUUAAGAAAUAUUUGUUUGAUUUUAUUUAAUCACGAAGCUCAAGAUUGAACUGGCUGUUGAUUUAUUUUAAAGGUUGUUUUAAUUUAGUCAAUUUAUUAAAUUGGACCCUAAUUGAAACCAAUUCGGUCAUAAUUGUAAUGCAAUUGGUCAAUUGAAUUUUAGUCAGGCUUAAAUUUAAAUGCAAUUGUCUAAACUAUCAUUUACUGGCUAUUUAAUAAAUAGCCAACAUAGCCAUUCGCCUUAAAUAUUCAUCAGCCCUUUCCAGCCCAACAAUAACGUUGUCAACAACCCAACAAUAACAAUUAGACCCGACCCACUCUUACUUUCUCUUCUUUCAUACUUACAACAACAAUAGGCACCACAACGUGCAAAUAACACCAGCGUACAAUAGCUUCAACCAAAUCCAACAAAGCUCUAGGCGUUUCUUUUUACCAACAACCGCAACCCAUCAGCAAAAAACGAUCGAACCCGACAAAACUCUAGCCGUUUCUUUUUACCAAUUUACCCUUCCACACAAUCGAGAAUGGCUAGGGUUCCAUCCACUUUUCCCUUUCUCAGCUGGUGCACGUCCAUUUUCGGCAAGGUUACAACGAAUACCUCCUUCCCCGUGUGUUCUCUCUCUCCCUACUGACUUUCUAGGACCAAGGCCAUUAAUGGCCUUUGUCUUACUGUGGACCUCAAAUUUUCCAAGAAAACCAAUUCCAAAAUUUGGACUUGAAAUCCAUUCUUUUAAAACCAAAAACCCUAAUUCCCCCCCCCCCCCCCCCCUCAAUUUCCCCUAUAAAUAGACAGUGAGGGAUAAAUGGAGAAGGGGAGGAUUUUGGGAAAACAAUUGGAGACUUUGGUGGUGCAUGAUUCUAACCUCACGCAACCAAAAUCUCGAAGAACACUAAAAAAAUCAAAAUUCAACGUCCUCGAAUUAUAGUGGCGGAAUCUUCAUUGUGAUAAGGUCAAGGUUCCUGGUUCGCUGCUCACAAUAAGGUAAACCCUUCGUUUUUUGUGUUUUGUACAAUUUCUUGUUUGUUUAAGCUACAAUUUCUGGUCAUUUUUUUCUCACUGUUACUAGAAUUUAGGUUCUUUUGUGGCAAUCUGGACUAUUAUUAUGUUGUUGGUAGUGUUGGAUUUCAAGUUAGUGUGAAAAUGAGACUAGCUGCUAGCAUAAGUUGUUCAAAAGAUUUGAACUUUGAUGAAUCCUUUUGUAAUUUUCUUGUGUGCCAAGUACUGUAUUUCCUUGAAAUGGCUUGAACAACUUCUUUACUAGAUGUUGAUACCUGGCAGCGUUUAGAGGUGAUCUUCAAAUGAUUUAGUAUCACGUUGUUCUUGUUUGACUGCCGAAAUUUGUCAAGGAUGGUCACGUGAAUGCUUUCAUGGAUUAAGGACUCCUCGAGGAUCUCUUAACUUACAAAUUAUCACAUUUGUCAAGAAAGGGAUGAAAUCACUCUCACUUUCUCUUUUCAAAUAAGGUCGAAGGAUGGAGGUGGAUAUCGAAAUUAAUCAUCUUCCCGCCCAUAAGCCCUUUCCAGUUAUGCUUGCUUUCAUACUUUUGGUCCCAACUUGUUCAACGGGCCAUGUAUUAGAAUUCUCUUGGUUCAUAAUACCGAGUUGAACGUUUUGAAUGGAAACACUAGUUUUGAGUUAUCACUCUUUAAUUCUUCUCUUAAAAGAUAUAAAAAUAGGAAAUGAAAUUGAGUCUCUUUGUUCUUUAAAGAUUUCUUUCACCUAAAGCUAUUUCCCUCCCUUUGUUUGGUUGUUGGGAUCGUUGCACAGAGUUGGUCGAGCCUCAAAAUGGUUUAGAGAAACCAUUUUCUCUAAACCAAUUCCUUGAUCCCGCUUGUGGAUUAUUUCGAACUAUUGUAAUUUAUGGGAAAACAGAGGUUUUCUUUGUGAGUGUAUGGUUAUUUGUCAAAACUAUCAAACUGGGAUCUAUAUUUCUUUCUGCUUGUUGUAGUAACGUUUGGCAUAAAUUUGAUUUUGUUUGAAACGUGAUUUGUGUCUCAUGGUGAACAAAGGUGCAUUAGUUUUGUUUUUCUUUAUUUUAGUUAAUUCUCAUCCUUAUUGCGUACUUGUAUGGAUCUAACCCCUAUCUUUUUAUCUCUUGUGCAUGAACUCGUUUGAGUCUUUUUUGGACUCUUUCCUUGCAUCCUCGUUGGGUCAAACCCAAUAUCGAGUCAAAACUUCAAGGCAAAGUCCUAAAAGGACUGGCUUUGCGCCGGUAAAUAGUGAUAUACGCAUUAGGGAGGCUGCUAUACGGGUGAUAUACAAUGAACAUGAUAAAAGAAAGCUGAUUAUACAGGUGGAGGACUACAUUUGUGUUUAUAUGACUGAAAUACUAUCAUAUAUACACUGGAUAUACAGGAAAACGAGAGAAAUACAACUGUGAUAUACAACUGGUAUACCAGUUGUUAAAAUGGACCCAAAGUCCAGAAAAUUUGAAGCCCAAAGCUGAGCAGAUUGUUGAUGGGCUAGAAGAGGGGCCCAACUCCUACUCUUAUCUUUUAUUCUCUUGUAAUUACAAAUUUAUUCUUGUUUAUUUGUAUUAAUCCUAACUUUAAUUAAUUAAUUAAUUAAUCUAAAAGUUCCCUACGUUAUUGCCAUAUAUUUUAUCUCUACUUUUUCACUUAGUUUAUAAUUUUUCCCACCUAACUUAUCUUAUCAAAAAUGGAUUAAAUUGGCUCCUAUGCCUUUUUCUUAAACAAGUCUUUAAAAAUUAAGUACUUUAUUUCAAAUGAUAUUUGUUUUGUUCAUGUAACUAAUAGUCUAUUUGGAAUAAAGUAAUUUUCUUCAAACUCAAGAAAUUAAUUUUUCUUGUAAAGUCUAAAUUUUCCAUAAUUGAUGAGAUACUUUUAGUUUGAUACCCUCUUAACAUUUUUUCAAAGGUGUUAUUUAUAAUAAAAUUGACUUUCCUAUAAAUA
rnacentral:lncRNA from 1 species